rnacentral:lncRNA from 1 species
UUUUUUUUUUUUUUUUUUUUUGAAAACCUUAAUUUAAGACUACUUCUUAUGUUUUCCCCUAUUUUACUCAAUUUAAGGUUGUUGUUGGAGAGGAAUUAGACCAUGUAAGAAUCAUCACUUUGAACAGGCCUCGACAUUUGAAUGUCAUCUCAUCCAAAGUGGUAUGUAAUGUUUAAACUAACACUGCCUUGGCUUUCUUUUAUGUUCUUCAAGUCAAAUCUUCUGAAAUCCUUGUUUCUUUUACUGCAAUCAGGUCUCCCUGCUAGCUAAAUACUUAGAACAAUGGGAAAGAGAUGAGCAAGCUCAGCUUAUACUGAUCAAGGUUGUUAAAUUGGGUCAUUUCAAAUGGUUCCUUGUUCUGGAUUUCUCUGUCAAUUUUCAUGAUUUCUAAAUUAUAUUGUUUGUAACUUUUUAUUCAGGGAGCCGGGCGUGCAUUUUCUGCUGGUGGAGAUUUAAAAAUGUUCUAUGAGGGAAGGAAAUCAAGUAAAUGUUCUAUCGGUCUUAUCCUGAUAUUGGACUUUUGGUUCUAUUCUAUUAUGUUUUGAACUAUGUUGUUCGGAUAGGGGUAUGGGAUAUGAUCUUCUAUAUACUUGGAAAACCUUAAAAAUAAUGAAGUUCUCGUACCAUAAGUUUUAAAUUCUAUUACUUCCUCCAUAACACCUAAUGACUGCUCAUAUAUGUGCAAUUGUGCACAACAUUAUGAAUUUUAAUUCGUAAUGAAUUAUUCUUCUGACAGAGGAUUCCUGCCUCGAAGUGGUCUAUCGAAUGUAUUGGCUUUGCUAUCACAUUCAUACUUAUAAGAAAACUCAGGUUUUUUUAUUUUCACACUGUAUUCUCAUACCAUUACACAAGGAGUUCAUUGAAUGUGAGAUCUGCUCACUGUGGAAAUCUACCAGUCUAAUUGAUGUAUUGUGUUUGACAGGUUGCUCUUGUUCAAGGAAUUUCAAUGGGAGGUGGUGCAUCAUUGAUGGUCCCGAUGAAGUUCUCAGUUGUAACAGAAAAAACUGUGUGUAUAUAGUCAUUCUCUUGACAUUUUGUGUACAUAAAUCAAUACUUUCAAGUUUCAACCUUACCUUCUUUCCUUUAUCUGUUACUGAAUUGAUGUGCUGAAUCUUCCGUAUGGUACGCUUUUGAAUGCUUGUGCUUAGGUCUUUGCAACACCAGAAGCAAGUAUUGGGUUUCAUGUGGACUGUGGUUUCUCAUACAUGCUUUCCCAUCUCCCUGGCCAUUUGGGUACGAAUGACUUGCCAAAGUAGAUAUAGAUUUGUAUUUGGUUUUGUUAUGGGAUUUUUUUUGGAAGCUUAUUUAAGACUAUUUGGUCAUUCAUUGCAGGGGAAUGUUUAGCUUUAACCGGGGCUAGGUUAAAUGGUAAGGAAUUGGUUGUAGCUGGACUAGCAACCCAUUUUGUCCCUCUUGAGGUGAGUUCAGUUAUCUAUGUUGAUUUGAAUCUUUAUUUUUCAUGAAAUACCAGUAUUUGAACACAUAGCCAUCAUAGAUAUGGAUAUAUAACUCUCAAAGGACUCUUCAAAUGCAAGGAAAUUCUUGGAAAUGCAUGGAAAAACAUGGAAAGAAUUGAACAUACUCGUGUCUGAUACAUAACUAUUUCUGACAUUCACACCCAAGUUUGAGUAGCAUAGGCUAUGGUUAUGUAAUAGCUGUGAGAUUUAUUGUGCACAGAAACAAUUAGUAUUAAGUGUUUCUUCUCCUGUCAAAUUCACAAAUAACAACCCAAACAAAUCCGAGCUCUAGCUUGUUUCAAGGAAUUUGAUUUCAUAAUUUAAUUUCCUACCUUGGAUCAUAUUCCAUCUAUUCUCAUCGGACAUUAAUCCAUUUUCUUUUGGCCUUCUGCUGCUGCAAGCGUUAAAGAUUUACUUGACAUUUCUCUUUAUAUCCUGUAUUAUUAGCAUUCACUUUUGGAAAGAAGUUCUGUGAAGAAGUAUAUGAGUGAAUGCAAAGAAGUUCUGUGAAGAGGUAUAUGACCUAGCACGGCUGGGGUUCGCUUCAAACAAAAAAAAAAAAAAAACUCCAUUUUUUCUUCUGGCUUCAAGAAGUAUCAUAUAUUUUACAAUUUAUAGGGAGAGGCUUGGGUGGGAAGCUGAUCCCAACUUUGCUCUAAUGCAAAUUUAAACAGUCUGACUAUAUUACUUGAACUUGGGCAUGAGUAUGUGUUCUACACAUACACAUAUGUUCAAUUUAAUUUUUUUUUUUUUAUGUAUUUGAAGGGUCUUGAAACAUCAUAUCCUCAUACCAUGUCCUCAGAUACAGCUACCAAAUACAGAUACUUCAUUAAAAAAUUGAGGAGUUGGAGAUACGAAAUCAGCUAAUCAUUCUGAAAUUAGUAACACUUUGACUGUUGAGGAUACAUAAAAGGAACAAUAAUCUACUAACAAAUUCGUUCUUAGACUUUUUUGAUUAACUUCAUUUUCUCUAUCCAUAUUAAAUUUUGAAAACACCUCAUCAAUUUCAGUCUACAAAGAAUUUGACUUAAAAUUUGAGCUUUUCAUCUUUUAAAUUAGUUCCAAGACUUUCUUAAUGAACCUCAUUUUCUCUAUCCAUAUUAAAAUUUGAAAACACCUCAUCAAUUUGAGCCUUCAAAGAAUGUGAAUUAAAAUUUGAGCUUUCCAUCUUUAAAUAUUGUGUAUAUGUAGAUUGAAAUUAAUGAGGUGUUUUCUGAUUCUUGUAAAUUGUCAAUUUGUCUAUGCUUUUUUCCCCUUAGAUUGAGUAAUAUCAUGAUAACGUUUUAUUUUCUAUUGUAAUCAGAAACUUCCUGAGCUUGAGAAGCGUCUGAUUAGCUUGAACGUUGGUGAUGAAAACUCUGUCAAGGCUACAAUUGAGGAAUUUUCUUUGCAUGUGCAGCUUGAUGAAGACAGUAUUUUAAACAAGUAAGAAAACCUGUGUCAACAUAUGUAGCUCUGACUCUUUAUUUUGUUUGAAGUAUCUUCGACAGACAUGUUUGAUACAUAUUUGAACAUGGGUACGGGAUAAAACCCUCCAAGGACGCUUUACACAUGAAAAAGCUUAGAGCAAAUUGGACUUACAUGUAUCAAACACAUAGCUAUAUUUGAUUCUUGGAUGCAGAAGUGUCAACUAAAAGAUGAAUUGGGAAAGGUCAUUGACCUCAGCAUUAGUGAAAGCUGAUAGUUUUUAUUACUCCCCAGGAAGCAGAUAAUUGAUGAAUGUUUCUCAAAGGAUUCUGUUGCAGACAUUAUAAAAUCAUUUGUAAGUUCUUUUUCUUUCUUCUUUAAUCUCUCAACAUAGAAAGGAACAUUAACAUAGUUUGAAUUGGAAAAGGUCCUCAUGAUAUUCACUUUCUUUGAAUGUUCUCUGACAGGAAGUGGAGGCGAGCAAAGAGGGUAAUGAAUGGAUUGGUCCUGUACUGAAAGGGCUGAAAAGAUCAUCGCCAACAGGAUUGAAAAUAACAUUGAGAUCGGUAAUAGUUUUUUACUUUAUUCUACCAUUUAUUCAUAUGUUUAACUGGUUUGCAGAACUUUGGUUUAUAUUUAUAGGCAUUUGAUAGUGAUUUAAGGUAAACUUUUGUAAAGGAUGAGGCUUCUGCUUCAAGUGCAACUAACUCGAAAUAAAUUCAUUCCAUCCUUCAAAGCUGAAUGAAGUUCAUCUCAUUUUCUACUGACAGUAUGGUGUCUACCUAAAAGCAUCUAUCUUUUUCAUGUUUAAAUUGAUGCAUUGUCUUGAUUUGGAACUUGAGAUCAGUGAUUCCAUCAAAGUCUUUCUGAUGUCUAUACAUACGAGUGUUUGUUUCGACUUUUUCAAAUUGUAGAACUAUGGAACUGGUAUCAACUUAACAAAGCACACCUGGUUGACUUGGUUUUACCCCAAAAGGUCGUUAACAAAGCACAACCAUUAAUUGUUGGAUUAAUAUUUCUAGAUUCGUGAAGGGAGGAAGCAAACUCUGGCUGAAAGCCUGAAGAAAGAAUUUAGACUAACAAUGAAUAUAUUACGGACCACAAUCUCUGCAGAUGUCUACGAGGUAAUUAAUUUGAGUUUAACCACUUACGAAAACUUCAAAAAGAGCUUUAUCUAACUCGUGAAUGGAUUUGCUUCUGUUUUUGUUGAAAGGGUAUCAGAGCCCUCACCAUUGACAAGGAUAAUGCUCCAAAGGUACCCUCUUUUACUAAUGCAUCCUUGUAUGCUAUGUUACUCCAACUCUUUACUUUUCUUGAAUUACUUGUGUUUGACACAUAUGGAUGACCCUCCAACUUCAAGGAUCUUCCAAAUACAUGGAAAAAAUUGGAAAAUUAAAUUACUUAUCCAAUUCAAAAACAUAUCCAUAUCCAAAUUAAACUCAAACUCAGGUCAAUUAGUGAUAUAGCUUUCAUGUAUCUUUGCAUGUGUUAAUCCAUGCAUGUCAGCCUAGAAUCUUAGUGAAAUAACUUAUGAUUUUUAUUGGUUGCUUACUUGUUAAAAACUUUGAACUUGGGAAGAAUUUGUAAUCUAUCAUAUUAUUACUGGAUGAACUUUUCAAAUCCGAUAAGUGGGUAGCUUACUUUUUAAGGGGAUUCCUUUUUCACAUUAAGCAUGUCAUAAAUUCUCAUGUGUCAAACAACUACAGUGGGGCCCACCAAUUCUUGAUCAAGUGGAUGAUGAGAAGAUAGACCUAGUAUUUCAGCCAUUUACAGAGGAUUUGGAGCUCAAAGUUCCAGAACAGGAAGAUUGCAGGUAACUAUGACCUAUAUUGCUUAUGACAUGUAUAUAUAAAUAUGAGGAUGGAGAUAUAACCCUCCUAUUACCUAAAAUGAAAUUAAAUAUGCUUUGUUUCCGGCACAUACCUACAUUGACGUAUACCCACACUUUGGGACCCUGAGUCCUCUCAUGUCAUUUAUUAGUAUCAGGAUGGAUCUAAAAUAGCUGAUCUUUCAUUGUAUUUUUUGUCUUCUGGUCUAUCAUCCGAACCAAGUUAUAGGUGGGAUGGAAAAUACGAGAACUCAGCAUACGCAAAAUGAAAGGACUGAGAGAUGAUACGGAUGAAGUACAAGAAAAAGUUCAUGGUUAGGAGCUGCUGCUUUCCCUGAAACACUACUUUCACCAUGGAGGAAAUCUCAUAUCUUUAGAUAACAGCUUUUUGUAUCCACUACCGGGUUCAUUUUCUGUGUUUAACUUUCGAAUCUUUACUCUUUGAAUAAAGGUAUUAAUUUACUUAAAGCCUCACAUGCAUGUUAAUUGUUGAGUGGUGUCCUAAAUUCAGACUCUUCUAUGUUUAUAAUAUAAUAUGAUUGGAGCCCGGAUAAAGGCAUAUUAGCUAGAUAGAUCAUGGUAAAAUUGUUACAAACUGAAAUUGCUUCAUAAGUUAUGUUAUCAUUCUUUAUUUUACUUGAACCAUUAAUGUACGGCGCUUUGUUUUCUGACAUGAAUAUUAAAGAGUGGGAUAUGAAAAGAAUUUAAAUAUUCGUAUGAAACAUAUACUCAUAUCCGAACAUUUAUUCUAGUAUUAAUACCAUAGUUGAUAAGUGAUAAUAAAGGGCAUGCUUGAAUUUUAAUGACUCAUUCUUGGCUUUGUUUUUUCCAACAAACCAUUCAUUCAACAGGAACCAGAUUAUAAGAGUGUUACUAGUUUCACAGGUGGAACUUGAACCCAGUUUGACGGACAAGAAUUAAUCCUAGUUUUUUUGCGAUCUAGUCAACAACUCUAUUACUGUUUCUUUUGGCAAACUUAAACGAUACAUCUCUUACGUUUAGAAACUAUAGAUAGAAUAUCUUAAACAAUUGCAAAAAUCUCCCAAGGGCAUUGGUUCUUUUUCCAUAAGCAUUGAAUCAGUUGAAGAUUGCUGGAUUCAAAUUCCACGGACUCCCAGUUAUUAUCAGCCGCAAGUAUGGAGCCCAACCUCAUAGCUUCGGCAUCAGCCGCUAAUGCUAUAGACACAUGCAUCAACGCGUUGGUUCCACCUACAAAUCUCCAUUGCUGUUCCUGGCAAUUGUAGCCGCCCUUGCUUCUCGAUUUUUCCCUUUUAGAGAAGCAUCAAAAUUGAUUUUUACAACUUGGGGCAUACUGCCAACGAUGUUGCGACAUGAUGAAGCCAAAAGUCGCAACAUUCCAACUAGUCCCGAAGAUUAAAGUAAUUUUCCAUCGAAGUCACGACAUCGGUUCGACAAGGCCCAUAUAUCUAUAAUAGUUGUUUUUUGUUCAUACUAGAUGUGUGCAAAUUUUGAGUAAAAUCGAUUUAUCAACCGAACCGAAUUAAUUCGAUUAAUAGGUUGGUUAACCGAAUUAAUUCAGUCGAUGGCCAGUUAAUAAUUUUUUGAAAGUUCAGUUAACGGUUAAUUCGGUUUGAAAUCGGUUAAUUAACCGAAAAUUUAUAUUUUUUAUAUACAUUUUACAUGUAUUAAAUUCGGUUAAUUUUUUUAUAUGUUUUAUACUUGUUUUAACUAAAAAAAAAUAUAUAAAUUCCGGUUAAUUCUGUUAAACAGUCGAAUUAAUCGAAAAAGUUCAGUUUGAUUAAUUUUUUUUUGAAAAAUUUCAAUUUUGUUAACGGUUAAUUGUUUAAAAAGUUCAGUUAAUUCAGUUAAUGUUAGUUCGGGUCGGUUAACCGAUUGAACAAUCUUAGUUCAUAAAAUCUUAUUUAACCUGUUACAUAGAUUGUAAUUGACCUAAUUUGGUCAUACAACAUAAACACUAUAAAUAUUAGCUUAUAAGAUCAUAUUAGGAAGGUUUGAUUUCUGUUUUUAAGUUAUUUCAUAGGAUUAAUUAGGGUUUUAGGUAGAUUUUAAUAUUCUUUUCAAUUAUUAAAAAAUUAGUUAAUUUUAAUAUCAAUUUCAUUUAUGUUUUCUUUUAAUUACUUUUUUUUUUGUUAUUUUCUUAUUUGCCAAAUCAAAGAUCAACAUCAUUCAUAGGUGUUGGAAAAAAUCUAGUUUGAAAACGAUUUUCUUUCCCAGCAGAAAAUGAAAAAAAUUGAAAACUUAGUCGGUUUGUGAUAUUUAUAACAAUAAACACUUUAUCAAAAUUGCACAUGUGUUUUCGGCUAGACGGAUAUUUGUCGUUCCUGGCUUUCAACGGAACGACCUUCUCCGCUAUUCUUGUACUGCGAAUUACUUUGAAUGUGGGCUCAAACUAUUCGAAUCAAACAUAGAACCAUAAAUAGUUUUCAUUAUUUUAGUGUGAAAACGAAAAUCUUUUUUCAAUAGAAAUUGACAAAAUUGUUAUUCCAGAACAAAAUUUUAAUAUUUGAGAAUAAACUAUCACUAUUUUCGGGCAGAGUAACAAUAUCUUAAAGUUGUUUAAACAUCCCUGUCGGUACCAUCUAUUUAUAGUAAAAAGAAGUAAAACCCUUAUUGAAUUUUAAAAGUUUAUUUCAACUAGAAAAACGAAUUCCUAAUUUAACUAGAAGUAUAGGGGGCGACAACCCUAGUUAAUAAUACUAGGGUUUGUCAUCCCUCCCUUUUAACAUGAGGGGCUUUUGGCCUCUCCCAUAUCGAGUCCAAUUACAAGUAUUUUCAGGACUUUUAACUUAGGACUUCUAACCUAGUACUAUACAAUUCGAUCCAACACAACAUUUGUUUUUCUAUUUCCCAAAAUAAAUAUCUCAAAUAAUUUCCAAUUAAAUAAUCUUCUCAACCUAAUUCUAAUUCCGUUAAAACCAUGACGGCUUUACCGUAAAAGAAUCUAUGAGAAAAUAUAUUUAAUAUAUCUACAUUCAACGAUUUAUUAUGACCAAAUUAUUUAUUUCCAUUUUUUAACUUCAUUUUAUUCGAAAAUUAUAAAUUUAUUUCCAAUUCAUUUUCAUUUUUCAUUCUUCUUAGGUUUAGUCCGAUAUAUUAUCAGUUUGGUAAAUCACAUAUAUGUAUCUAUAUUCUGAUAUUCAUCCGCUCCGAUGUCCAAAACAAAGCAUCUCCCCAAUUGGACUUGAUAGGCAUCAUAUUAGUCUUUCAAUUGAUUUGCUCAUUUUCGAUUAAACUAAGGACAAGUUUAGGUUUGUCUGCUAAUAAAAGUUGUUUUUUCGUAUUACAAUUUGACCACGUAAUACAGCUUAGUAUUGGUUUAAAUAUUAGACAACUAGUGAGUCAACAUUUACUUCUAUUUUGCUUUGCAAGCAAUGUAACAGCCCUAACCCGAAUCCGUCGUCGGAAUAGGGUUACAGAGCAUUACUAGAGUUUACAAAUCAAACAGAUAGAAAAUGCAAACAUUUCAUAUCAUAUAUCAUUCAUGUCAAAAACCAAUUGAAAUCAUAUAUAUUAUCCCUUACACAAGCCCUCGAGGCCCAAAUUACACGUUAGAAAUAAAUUGGGACUAAGUCGAAAGCUCAGAAAAUUUUUUGAAAACAUUUAAUAUUUUUAACACUGCAGAGUCACACGGCCGUGAACAGGCCAUGUGACUCACACGAUCAAGAGACACACCCGUGUCUAAGGUCGGGUAACUCAUUGACUUGCAUUCAUUUAAAAGAUAUAGGGGACACACAGCCGAGACACACGCCCGUGUCUCUACUCGUGUGGACGAAAAUAGGUUAUUUUUCAAGCCAUUUUUCUCAACCAACAAGGCAUGUAUCUACAACUAUCAUCAUACAUGUAAACAAGCCAUAUUAUAACAUCCAAAACAAGUAAAAAUCAAGCCUUAAAUAUAGAUAAUAUCUUCACAUACAACAAUUACUCCUUCAGGCACCUCAGAUGACAGAUUAUAACAUGUGUGUUUAUGUAUUCAAUAUAUUCAUAUGUAUAACUAACUUACAUGCAUAAUUGUACCCAAAGUUUACUAAGCUAAUUUGCAUUAUUUCAAACCAAGUCACUUACCAACCAAAACAUACCAAAACACAAGCCAAAUAAGUGGUUAAUAUUUACAAAACUCAUAUAGGCCAACAUUAACCAGAAUACUUAUACAUGCCACUAUAACCAAAACCAAAAUAUCUAAAAGUACCAUAGAACCAAUGGAUAGUAUGAUAUAACUCCGACAAAAUUUCCAAUCCGAUCGAGCUUCUGAUAAUCUAAAAAGUAAAGAAGAACAACUACGUAAGCAACAAAUGCUUAGUAAGUUCGUAUAAACUUUAGUCAUAUCAAUUCAUUUCAAAUAUAAAAUUUAUACAUAUAAAAAAUAAUCCAAUAUUGAUACCACAAUACUCAUGAAGUAUAUUUAUUAAUUCAUAAGGUGAAUAAAUUCAUAAUAUCACAAACAAACCUCCAUUGGGUAUGAUUUUCAGAAUACUUUCCAAAAUUUCAUUAUAAAUUUACUAUAUUACAAUUUGACAUUUACACUUGCAGAUACUUCACUUCAUCUAGAUAUUCAAUUGCAUUUUCUUAAGCUUCGGCACAUGCACGCUAAGGCAUAAUCAAUAUGAAAAAAAUGAAAUUUGAAAUAAGCCAACAAAAUUAAAGGAUUAUGUGUUUAACACUAAAUUAAGCUAUGAGUCAUAAGAAAUAAAAUUAAGAACAAACCCAUAAUAAACCCAUAAUAAGGAAAUUAAAAAUAAAGAGUAAGGCUUGCACAAGGAACAAAUAAACAUGGGAUGAAUUUAUGUGUGAACAUGUUAAGAACUAAGGCAAAAAUGGGAUUCAUUAUUAAUUUGUAAGUUAAACACUUAUAUUCAGUAGUGAGAAAUGAAUCUUUUAAAAUGAACUUUGGAUAGUUCUUACUAAAGGGCUCAACAUUACUUGAGUACUUACUAAGUUAUACAAGAUUAACUUGUUAGUUGUUUAAACGUUGUAGUAACCAUAUUUUGUUUGGAUCAGUUUUUAUUAUUUAUUAUAAUUAUACUUUAAUAUUUAUUAAUAUAAUAAAAAUAAUAUAGAAUUAUAAUAUAUAGAUAUGCACGGUUGAAUAACUUCUAAGUUAACAUAUAAGUUGUUAGGAAUCAAUCCAAAUAAACAACGAAAAGAAAGAGUAGAGAAGAUCAAGCACACGAAUAUACAUGAAAAAACCCUUUUGAUUGAUAUGACCAAGAGGAUAAAAAACCACGGGAAAAGUAGGUUUUGGAUUUUCACUAAUGAGAAAAAUAAACGAGAGUACAAGAUAAAGAAGAAAUUAACCUAGAUGUACAAAUCUCUAAUCCGAAAACAAAACCCUCUCUCAAAUACAAAGUUCUAUUUUUUUCUUUUUCUCACCUCUAUGAGGGUUAUAAUAGCCCUUUAAAUAGGCUAAGAUUAGAGGGCCAAUAUGACAAAAAUAUUCUUGGAGUAAUCAAGGUUCGUCUGGGAAAAAGAGUCACAUGCUUCCUCGUCGCGAUGUCGCAUCUGCUUUUCAAAAGGUUGGGUCUGUCUUCGGUAUUGCGACACAGGCAGCGGUAAGUGCCUGCAAAGUGUCCGAAAAAUGUGAAGCACACUCUACAAAUCUCCAUAUUAACUCGUAUUUAAUAUGCCUUCUUUUCUAGGCCUUGUUACUAGCAUAACUUGAUAUUUGCAACAUACUAACCAAGUCCAAAUAGUGCACGAACUUGGAAAUUGGAAGACUUUUAGUUAUCAUAUCAGCUAGAUUGUUCUAUGUGCUAAUCUUAUGAAUCUGAACAUCCCAUUGAGAAACCACCUUUUGAACGAAGUGAUACCUGAUGUCUAUAUGCUUCGUCUUCUUGUGGUGCAUCUGAUAUUUAGUGAGAUGUAUAGCACUCUGACUAUUGCAAUAUACAACAAUUGUUUAUUCUUCCUUGACCAGCUAUCUGAAUAGACCUCUCAACCAAAUGGCUUCCUUCACAGCCUCUGUGAUCGUCAUAUAUUCUACUUCUGUAGUUGAUAACACCAAAGUGGCCUUUAGCGUGACCUUUCAACUAAUAACACAGUUGUCAAAAGCAAACAGAUAACCUAUGAAAGAUCUCAUUUGGUCUAAAUCUUUUGCAUAAUCUGAGUCUACAUAGCUAACUAAACCCUCUAAACUUCUCCUGAACUCUAAAAAAUAUUAGAUGUGCCAUUCAAAUACUUGGGAAUCCACUUAACUGUCUACCAGUGUAACUUGUUGGGUCUAGCCAUGUAUGUACUCACAACAUUAACAACAUGUGAAAUAUUGGGGCGAGUGUAGACAAUUGCAUACAUCAAACUAACUAUUACACUGGAGGAGGAAACCUUAGACAUGUACUUUUUUUCAUCCUCGGUCUGUGGUGACUCUGAAGUCGAGAGUUUGAAGUGUGCAGCUAUGGGAGUAUUAAUUGACUUUGAGUUUUGCAUCACAAACCAUUCCAAGACCUUUUCCAUGUACCUCAGCUGAGACAAAAAUCAAUUCCCAGAGUGUCUAUCUUUGGAAAUUUUCAUCCCAAAAUUUUUUUAGUUGCACAAAGAUCUUUCAUCUCGAACUUAGAGUCAAGCAAGGUUUUUAACCGAUCAAUCUCAGAUGAGUUGUUAGUAGCAAUCAGCAUAUCAUCAACUUAAAGCAGCAUAUAUAUAAAUGUUCCAUCAUUUAUACGAUGCAGAUACACAUAGUUGUCAUACUUCUUUGAACAAAACCAAUGCUUAACAUGAAAGAAUCAAUUUUCUUAUACUACUAUUAAGGAGACUAUUCAGGUUGUAUAAUGAUUUCCAUAGAAGCCAGACAUGAUAUUCCUUAUCUUCAAUCCUAAAGCCUUCAAGCUACUUCAUAUAAAUAUCAUCUUCCAGAUCACCAUGAAAGAAUGCAGUCUUUACAUCUAACUGUUCUAAUUCAAGGUUGUAUAAUACAACAAGGGUCAGUAAUUUCCCCAAUGGACAUAUGUUUCACAACAGGAGAGAAAACAUUGUGGAAAUCAACUCCCUUCACUUAGUUGUAACCCUUUGCGACCAACCUUGCUUUAUACGUAGUGUCACCUGGAUUUAAUCCUUCUUUCUUCUUGAACACCCACUUGCAGCUGAUAAUCCUCUUUCUAGGACUCCAUCUCCUCUUUCAUGGCCACAAGCCACUUGUUGAAAUCAGGAGCCUAAAUAACCUCAGAGUAAUUCGAAGGAUCAGCUGAAUCAAUGCUCUCGGAGAUGCUUAGAGCAUAUGUCACUAGAUUUCAUGGCAGAACCUCUGUGGUGGUUUGAUCUCUUGUCUCUCCCUGUCUCGAGCUAGUUGAUAAUUUCGUAGUUAAGAUAUAGAAGAUGCCUGUGAAUCAAAUGGAUCUCUAACUGAUCUGAAGUGGCUUUAGUAACCUCCUAUUACUCCGAAGAACCUCCAACUUCACAUAAGGGAGAAAUUCAUUACGACAUGGAAAGCUUUCUCGUCACAGCAUUGCCCCUGCUUUGGAUCUAGCUCUUUUUUACUUAAAACACUCUACUUUACUGUGUUGACCAGAACAGUCAACUCUUUUCUUGAAUGAAGCAUCACAAUUUCAUCAAAAGUAACAACUCUACUAACCAUGAUUUUUUUAGUUUUAGGGAAUCACAAUUUAGAACCCUUUACACUAGUAGAAAAACUAAGAAAUAUAAUUUCACAACAUUAGGUUCAAGCUUUCCUUCACUAACACCUGUAUGAGCAAGACAACCAAAUACUUUAAUGUUAGAGUAAUUUGGAAGGUUACUUAACCAUAACUCUUUAAAAAUCUUUCCAUCCAAUGCUCAAUGUGGUGGCCAAUUUACCAAAUAGCUAGUCAGAUUGACGACUUUUGUCCAAAACUCAUUUCUUAAGCUUGCAUUGAAAAGCAUACACCAAGCUCUCUCAAGUAGAGUUCUGUUCAUCCUUUUUACAAUGCUUUUUUGCUGGGGGUACUGAAAACUAUGCAGUGUCAGUCAAUUCAUUCAUAUUUGCCAUAGUUAUUAAACUCAACUGCUCAAAACUCGAGUUUAUUAUCUGUACUCAAUCGCUUCACUGACUUCUUGGUCUACUUGUCCAACAGGGUCUUCCACUGUUUAAAAAUCCCGAAAACUUCGUUCUUGUGUUUUAGAAAAUGGACCUAAACCUUCUUAGAAUGGUAACUAAUAAAGGUCAAGAGAUAUCCGCUACCUCUUUUAGAGGUGACUUGAACUAGACCCCAUAAAUUGGAAUGAAUGUAGCAAAAGUGUAACACCCCCUAACCCCAAACCGUCGCCAGAAUUGUGUUACGAGGCAUUACGAAACAUAUUGGUUAAUUUACAAAAAAUUUAUGAAUAAAUAACAAACAUAUUAAAAUUAAAUCAUUAAGUCUCUUUUAUAAACCCUCGAGGCCUAAAUCACGUAUUAUAAAUGAAUAGGGACUUAUUCAAGUACUCCGGAAAUUUUUUUCGUAAUAUAAUUACCUUUUUUGUGUUUAUUUAUUUUAUUAUUAUUAUUUAAAAAAAACUCAAUAUAACCCCUUUAGAAACAUCUAACCUUCCCUGCAAUUUCAAAUUUGCAACCAAUUCAUCAUAAACAACAACUCAAUAAAUACAAUCUUCAUCCAAAUCACAUUCGUUUCAUAUCAGUAUCACUAGUCCUUAUUUUAUCUAACAUUAUAUCCAUUCAUACUUUCAAGUAGUAUUUAAACAUCUUAGUUAAUUUCCAUUCAUAUCAUAUAUCAACUUAUAUUAACUUAACUAAUAUAUUCAUGAGUUAAUAUAAAACAUAGUCAUAUAAGCUCCAAUACAUGCCAUAUAAACCAUUUAAAGUAUUUAUAACAAAAUCUACCGGAAAAUCGAGAUAGUGUGACUUGAGCGUGAUGAUCCGAUACUCUGACCCUCCCGUUAAUCUACAAAGAGCAAUAAACAUUACAAGUAAGCUGACUAUAGCUUAGUAAGUUCGUCGGAUUUAACUAUAAAUCUUACCAAAUAUUAGUUUUCCAAAAUUUCAAAUCAUAUGGACAUUUCAAGUAAGUUACUUUCAUCCUGUAAGUCAUAAACUCAUUUAAAAUUUUUUUUACUUAAUUGAGCUCAAUAAUAAUAAUGAAAACAUUACUUACAUUAUUUUCCACACGUUACAUUUACGACUUACCAACUUAUCCAUUCAAGGAAUGGCUUACGGAUUUGAGUACAUCGUGAUUUGAAGCCAGAAGUCUAGCUGAAGCACAUAAGUGCUAAACGGAAGCCCGAAGGCUAACUGAAGCACACAAGUGUUAAACGGAAGCCUGAAGGCUAACUGAAGCACACAAGUGCUAAACAGAAGCCCGAAGGCUAACUGAAGCACACAAAUGCUAAACAGAAGCCCGAAGGAUAACUGAAGCUCAUCAGAGCUAAACUGAAACCCUAAAAGGGUUAACUAAAACUCAUAUGAGUUAACGGAAGCUCGUAAGAGCUAAACGGAAAGCAAACAUGAGAGUUCACAACAAAUUUUGAAUCUCGGUUUACUUAAUUCAUCUUUUUCACUAAACGAUCGUACUCAUUUCCUGCAUUCUGUUCUCCGAAAUACUCAGUUCAAUUUCGUAACUUUUGUACAUAAUUUACUUAUUUUCAACAAUUAACAUACAUAAAUAUUAAUCACCAUUCAUAAAAUAACAUUUAAAUUUAAUAAUUUAACCGUACGAACUUACCCGGAACAAUUUGCAGUAGUUGUAGAGAUUUCUGGAACUAUUCUGAAAUUUUCUCUUUUCCUCGUUUAUCCUUGAUUUCUUGAUCUAUAAUAUAAUUUUUUUCAUUUAUUCAUUAGUAUUUAUUCCAAUUCUACUCUAAUUUACAGAUUAUGCACUUUAAUUUUCAAAAUUUCACUUUUACCCCAAAUUUUACAAUUUUUACAAUUUAGUCCCUACUCAAUUAACCCUUCAAUUGAAUUAAUUUUUCUCAAUUAACACUUUAUUCUAUUAAUUUAAACUACUUAAUAACCUUUGUAAAUCAUAAUUUUAGCAUUAGACCUUAAUUCCAAACUUUUUCAUAAUUAGGUCCAAAAAAUCAAUUUCCACUAAAAUUGCUUAAUAAAAUCAUCAUAUAAUAAGAUUAAAAAUUCAAAUACAUGCUAAAUCAUCAUAAAAUUACAGAAAUUAUUCAUGUAAACUUUCAAUUUCACUCAUAGAAUCAAAAACAAAUGAAUUUAAUAGUAGGACCUAGUUGUAAAAGUCUUAAAAACACAAAAAUUACAAAGAAAAAGCAAGAAUUAAACUCACAUGAUGAAAAAAUAUGAAAAAACAGCUUAUUAAAGGCCUCCUAUGGCAUUUUUAGCUGAUGAUAAAGAAGAAAAAAUGAAGAAAAACUUAGAUAAUUCCAAUUUAGUCCUAACUUUAUUUAGUUAGUCUUGGCAAUAUUCCAAUUUUACCCUUAUUUCACUAAUUUCCUGACUUUUUCUCAGCUAUUGCCGUCCAAAAUAUCUCCCUUGGGAAAAUUAUCUCUUUAGGUCCUUCCUCAUUAGACACUUAAGCUAUUUAAUCACUUUCACAAGUUUUACACCUUUACAAUUUAGUCCUUUUUAUUUAAUUAACCACCCAAACGAUAAAAUUUUCUAACAAAAUUUUAACAUCAUAUUACUAACACUCCAUAAAUAUUUAUAAAAAUAUUUAUGGCUCUGUUUUACGGGAUCGAGGUCUCGAUACCUCUUUUUCAACUUAAUUUAUUUAAUAAUUUCUCUUUAAAUUUUAAUUUCACCUAUUUAAAAUAUUUCUAACAUCUCUCUCACUUCUAAAUAUUAUUUUAUUUUAAUUUUAUAAUCCCAAUCAUGGAAUUUAGUGAUCUCGAAUCACUGUUCCGACACCACUGAAAUUUAGGCUGUUACAAAAAGGGUAUCUUUCGUGCUGUGUACUAUAGAAUCAAUGUUGACUCGUGUCUGAUUCCCAUUAAUGUAGUAGUGUUCGUAAAAAUCUAGUUUUCCAACUCUUGCACUCGAGAGAAAACCACUCUUACUGAAGAUGGGCAUACAUUUCUCGCUCAUAUGGCCAAGUUUCAUAUGCCAUAAUUGAGUCAAGCCCGACUCUGUAAUAGACGAGGAAAUUGUUGUUAUACCAGUCACUGUUGAUCCUUGUAGAAUAUAUAGAUUGUCGGUCUUCUAACCUCUUAUCAAAAUGAGAGCUCAAUGAUAUAUCUUAAUGCCAUUUGAAUCAAUGAUGAUCUCACAACCAUUCAAGUCUAAAAUACCCAAAGAGAUGAGGUUCUUCUUCAAAUCAGGCACAUGCCUGACAUCUGACAGUGUCUUGAUGAUUUCAUUGCGCAUUAUGAUCUAAACGAUACCAAUACCAGUUAUCUUAUAUGGUAAAUUAUUCCCAAUAAAUACAACUCCACCUUCAACUAAACUAUAUGUUGAGAAUCAGUCCUUAUUGGGACACAUAUGGUAAGAACACUUCGAAUUUAGGAUCCACUCGGAUAUAAGUUUAGACCUUUCAACCAUAUACAAUAGCAACAAAUCAUCACCCUUAUUUUCGGCUACACUAGCAUCAGCUACCUCAGCCUUCUACUUCUCUUUCUCGUCACACUUAGUAGCCUUCCUGCUUUUAUUUUGCAUCUUAUAACACUCUAUCUUGAAAUGACUGAACCUUUAAAGUAGCCACAUGUUUUUUUCUUGAUUCCUCGACUUAGAUCUCGACCUAGGCUUGCCCCGAUAUGAAUCCUUAGAUUGUUGUCUGCUUCUUACAAUCAAAUGAAGUUUGUUGAUCCGACUUGCUACCUAAACCCAAAUCAUUAUUGAGUUUUUCUUUGCUCAACAAAUUACCCUUCACAUUCUUCGAAUAAGAGCUUAUCUCUAUUAUAAAUCAGGGUCUCUCUGGAUGUCUUAUAUGAAUGGGGCAAAUAACACAAUAAUAGCAUAGUUUGAUCUUCAUCAUCUAUAUUAACCUCGACAUUCUUCAUGUCAUUCAAGAGAGUAAUAAAUUCACUUAUGUGAGCUCCAAUGGAUUCACAUUUGACUAUAUAAAAUAUGUACAAACAUUGUUUCAACACCAAUAGAUAAGUUAGAAACUUUGCCAUAUACAGGGAUUCUAACUUCCUUCAUAAAGCAAGUUUCUUUUUCUCUAUCAGCACCUCCUACAACACAUUAUUCAUAAGGCACAACUGAAUUGCAGACAAAGCCUUCUCAUCAAGUUCAUCCCAUUCAGACUGAUCUGAAUUUUUAGACUUUUGAUCGGUAAUGACCUUUAAGUCGUUCUACACUAGGAUUAUAGUCCUCUAAACUUACCACAAAUUGAAAUUUUUGAUUUCAUUGAACUUCUUGAUAUCGAAUUUUGUUGUCAGCAUCUUUGAAUGAGUCGAUUGCGGAAUCCUAACCAAGCUCUGAUACCAAUUUAUUGGGAAUCAACCCGAAUAAACAAUAAAAAAUAGAGAAGAUUAAGUACACAAAUUUAUGUGGAAAAACUCCUCUAAUCGAUAUGACCAAAAGGAUAAAAAAACCAUGAGAAAAGUAGGCUUUGACUUUUCACUAAUGAGUAAAACAAACGAGGGUACAAGAUGGAGAAUAAAUGACCUAGAUGUACAAAUCCCUAAUCUUGAAAAUAAAACCCUCUCUCAAUUAAAAAGUUGUUUUUCUCACAUCUAUUAAUGUUAUAAUCGCCCUUUAAAUAGGCUAAGAUCAGAAGACUAAUAUGACUAAAAUAUCCUUGGAGUAAUUAGAGUUUGUCUAAGAGAAAAAGUCUUGCUUGACUAUCAAAAUGCGACUGCGUUAUUUGAGGAAUACGUCGUGUCAUCAUAGCGUCACAUGCUUUCUCAUCGCGACGUCGCCUUUGCUUUUUAAGAGAUUGCGUUUGUCUUCAACAUUGCGACACGGGUAGCGAUAAGUACAUGCAAAGUGUUAGAAAAAUGCUAGACACACUCCACAUAAUUAUAAAAUAUAUCUAUUCUUAAUAUAUAUACACGCGGGCCAAAGUUAUAAUAUUUAUGUACAUAUGUGGGCAAUGGAAAAUUCUUUUAGUUUACUUCGUGAUGGGAGUUAAAAAUAGGAGUUUAAAAGCAUAAAAAAAGGGAUAAUAGGCUGGUUAAAAAAAAGGGGUAAUAAGGAGGAUAGAAAAGUUGAAAAAAAUAUAUUUUCUAUUUUUUUUACAAUAAAGACAACUCUUAAAAAACAACACAAAUAAAGGAGAAAAAGAAGAACGCACAUAGAAAAAAAGAACUCUCAAAAUUAUUUUGAAAAAGGGGAUGACCAGGGUGUAGCUAGGGGACUGGCAAGAGCUCCGCCCCACUAAAAUAGAAAAAAAUCUAUAUAAGUCCUAUAAAUUUUUUAAAUUAGUAAAGAUAAAAUUACACUUUAACUUCCCUAAAAUAAUAAAAAAUUAAUUUAAUUAUUUAAAAAUUAUAAAAAUAUAAACUAUUAAAAUAAUAAAAUUACAUUUUUAUUAUCCCAAAAUUACAAUUUAAUUUUUCACCUCCUAACAAAAUUCCCUAGGAACGACUAGUGAAGAACGGGGAGACCCGAAAAAAAGGACGUGUAAUUAGAGCGAGGAAUAUACAGUACGCAGGUAGUGAAUUGAAAAUACACAGCUUUGACUGCUAUAUAUUCUAUAUAUCUUGGAGCACAAUGUGAGAAGCAUGGGUUGCUAACACGUGUUUUAGGCGACAACAUAAUGAUGUCUCCACCGCUUAUAAAUAUUACUCCUCAAGAGGUUGAUGAAGUAAGUUAAUUGGAUGUUACCUCUGUCUGCUGAAUUAUGUAUAGAUUUUGAAGCAUGUCAUGUUCAUCGUGAUUGCUAUAAAUAUUGGUGCUGUAGAGGGCCAAAACUACAUAAAGAUGAAUAACUGAAAACUUGCUACUCCUUUGUUUCUCUUGGUUGACAUAUGGAAAUAGCAACUCUAGGUGUUUUUAAGCAGAGUUGUAAUAAUAAAUAAUAACCCUUUGACUCGUUACGCUCUGCAGUUAGUAAGCAUAUACGGGAAAGCGUUGAAGGCUACGGAGGAGAGGGUGAAGGAACUCAAGUCUGGGCAGAAGAAACAAUGAAUAGUUUUGUAUUGAUGAUGGUGAAAAUUAUAUAUGCUGCUUCAUGUGAACUGAAAGCCAUUCGGGGAGUUCAUACUAAAGACAUGUUUUGUGUAAGAUAUCUGGUGCCUUAAUAAAGAAUUGUUUUUCCUCAUAUUUCGUUUCUUGUUUUUCUCCUACUUUUUAUGUGUGCUGUUUUUUAUAUUUUUCUCGAUCUAUUGCUGAACUGAACUCUCUCUGUUUAGCUACAAAUAUUUUUGUUAUUGCUUCAAAUAAACUAAAUACAUGUAUUAAGAUAAAAACACUUCUUUUUCGCACAACAGUAAAAGCACUUACGUACCAAUGAGGUCCUAUAGUAUUAGUAUUAUAUACAGCAAAUCCAUGAUCGACACUAAUACAACCUGAAACUUAGAAUUUGUGAUCCAAGUAAGAUUAGCUUAGGGUUUUGAGAUUUAUAUUUAUCAAAAAGGGUGAAAUUUCCUCUUAUCUAUAUAAAAUAAUAUGAUACCUUAUACUCGAUUUGAUUGUCGAAUCCGAUAUGAGAUAUCUCAUUCAUUGCUAAAGCAAUUCCAAUUAGUUUCUAUUUAAGUUUUAUUAAAAAUACCUGAGAAAUAGUCAAUUCAAACAAGACCAUCAACUUGGGGUCAUUUAAAACACUUUAGAAGCAUUUUUAAAUGAGUUUUAGAUAUUCAGAGGUGAUUAAGAUUAAGUUCGGGUCUUUAGGUUUAAAACAACUCAAAAUAGGGAAGGAAUACUUGUUUGACUCACUCUUAUUAAUAUAAGAGAGUACUUGUGUCGAUACAUCUAGUUAGUACUGUUCAUUUUUUUGCUACUAACUUACUUAUAUCGAUAUAUUUAAUUAUUUAUAUCAAAAUAAAUUUAUCAAGACCUAAAAAUGACCCAUAAAAUCACUCAAAACAUUACUAUAUCAUUUUUAAACAUUAUGGAGCAUAUCCAAACAUCUUUAAACUCAUUCGAACUCAUUGAUAUUAACAUGAUCACUAACAUUUUCAAUUUCAAUCAUCAAAUUCACUAACUUGACAUGCAAACAACACUUGAUAAUUUAUUGAUAAAAAAAUAGAAAGAAAAAGAAGGUAAGAAGCAGUUUUGGACUUCCUUUUACACAUAUUAUAAAUAUAUGGAUCUAAAUGGAAUUAAGUUAAUUUAAUUAAUUUGUUAAAUUUUAACUCAAAUUCAAUUGAAAUUGAGAUCUGGUGUGCCUUUGAACGUGUAAAAAUAAAAAAUAAAAACAUUAACAAAUUUGUGGCCAUAGAUUCCGCUUGGUCGUGUGCCGCUCAGCGGCAGCAGUAGCAGAUAAGAUAUUUUUUUCUUUGCUUUAUUUUUUCUUUCUCUUUCGUUUUUUUUAUUUGAAGUAAAAAAAUUACGUGUCAACAUCUUAAAACAGAAACAGUGCUCCUUCUGGCUUUUUCUUUUUUCGGUGUCAUGUCUUAUUUUUUAUUAAUUGGUAAUAAUAGAUUACAGAUUUGGGAAGUGGGAAGUGGGUUUGGGGUGGGGACGUCAACAGUUAAUGAAUUUAAUGAGUCAAUCAAUGAUAGGUACUACUACACUUUUAGGUUUAAAAUAAAUUAAAUUAUCAUACUUCAUGAUUUAAUUUUGAUUUAUACCAUGUGAAAAAAUAAUUAUAAACUUAUAAUAUGAUUAUGUUAAAACUUAUACAAAAUAAAUAUUAUUUUAUAGUAAACUAUACAAAUAAUUACAAAUUUUCAUAAAUUUUCAUUUUAAAUUUUUAUUUUGGUCAUUAUGAAUAUAAGGAGUAACGUAAAUCCAAGUUCGCAUCCUAACUCUUUUUUUUUUUUUAUAUUUCCACGUUAUUGAUAAAUAAAUUUUAUAAUUUUUCACCAGCUAAGCAUCUGUUUUAAACCAUGAAUUUCCAAGUAGGCAUUUGUUUUAAACCCCAAAUAAAAUUAAAAUUGAUAAAUAGUUUGAACCAAACCCUAAAUCAUGAACUGAAACUAGUUGAUUGUUUAUUUGUUUGUUGCUUAGGUGAAAAGUCAGAGCCUCUCUCUUUUCUCAAAUAAUUUUCACUUGGUUGUUCAUUAAACUUGUUUGUCGGUAAACAAGAGCAGCCCAAUCCCAUUUUUAUCAUUUUUGACCUACUCUAACCAAGGGUCUUGUAUAACCUCAGUACAUAUAUCCCUCCCCUCCUUGGCUUGAAGACAUUGUGCUAAACCUAGUGUAUUGGUCGAAGCUGUCGUUUCUUGGUAAAAGAAAAAAAAAACUGAAGUUCUCCUAUUGGGUUUUGGGAGACGGAGUUUGGAUAUCUCUAUAGGCUCAUGUUGCCUUUGCUUUCUUCAGAUUCUACUUGUUAUUGCUGCCUCUGUUGUUAUUUCUCUUGUUCACUUGUUGAACCACUGGUCUACAUUCAUUCAUCCCUUCCUUUUUUUUUUUCCGCUUAAAUAAUAAUAAAUUUUUGUGGUCUUUAUUUUUAUAAAUAAAUUAAAUGUUUUUUAUGUAAAGGUUAAAGUCAUUUUAAUUCUCAUGAUAUACUUCUCAUCAAUUAUAUGUUUUAAUUUUUUAUACUUAUUUUGGAACAUGAACUAUAUUUUAAUUCAGAAAAAAAUGUGAUAGGAUAAUUUAAAUAAUUAAAAAAAAUUAACCAAAUAAGGAUUUGGAAGAUAUUUGAAAAAUUUUAGAUUGACAAGGAAGUUAUUGGAAAGAGUAAAUAAAUAAAUAAAACAAAAUCUUCAUCUUAAUUUGAAAGAUAAAUUAUUAAAAUAGUCACUUUCAUUUGUCUCAGAUUAUUUUGUAGUCACUUAUGUUUAAAAUGUUAUGUUUUUAGUCACUUUACGUUAUCGUGCUGUAACAUUUUAGCUACUGAGUGUUAAUUGUCAUUAACAGUGUAACGGUAAGCUGACGUGGCAUCUUAAAUCAUCAUUUUAAACAAAUUUUAGGUUAAAUUAUACAAUUAGUCCCUACUUUUUUAUUUUGAGCAAUUUAAUUUUUUUCUUUUAUGUUCUUUGAACCUUUUUUUUUUCAUUCUCUUCUCAUUCUCCCUCUAUUUUUCUCCCUUCUCCAUUUCUUUUAAUGUAGUUUUUUUAUUUAUAUUUUUCAUUUGUUAAAACUAGUUCCUAUACUAUUAUUUUUUUCUUUUUAUUUCUUUACUUUCCUUUUCUUUUCCCCCCUUUAUUUAUCUCUCUUGUCAUAUUCUUUACUGCAGAAACAUAAUUUUUACCCACCAAAUAAAUAAGUUUUUGUUUCUUUCACAUGAUUCUUAAAUUGAAUUUUACUGAAAAUCGAAUAUCAAUCAUUCUUAAUCAAAAUCUAAACAUAAAUUAAAUUCCUUAUAUUCAAAAUAUUUCUUAACCAAAUCUAAACAUAAAUUGAAUUCCUUAUAUUCAAAAUAUUUUUUUUAAAUUUUUACAAAAUCGUGUAAAUUAUUCAUCUCCUUGCCUUUCCUUUUAUUUUUUAACAAAUAAAAAUUAAGCAAACGAUAAAAUUGAUCAACCUUAUUGGAUAUUCUCAAGCAAGCUUAAUUGGACGUCGAGCAUGGAUGAACCGAAGAGAGAAAGAGAGCAUAGAUGAACCAAAGAGAGAAAUGGAGCAUGGAACCAAACUAGUUUGGGUAAAGUUGAGGGUAAGUUUCCUAUGGUGGUCGUUUUAGUCAUUGAGAGUGUAGAGCUCAAUUGAAAAAUCUGUGAAACAACGUAGUUUCAAAAGGGUGAGAAUUUUGUAGGUAAGAUAGAUAAGGUGGUCGUAAGGGUUGAUUAGGAGGUUAAGGGAAUGAGUUCGGGAAACUUUGAUGAGGGUGGACUGCCAUAAGUCACGACUGAUGAGGUCUUUGAGUAAGGCGAGUUUGUGGACUACGUCAUUAAGAGAUACAACGUUAAAGCGAUGAUGGAUGAUGAGGAUUUGUAAUUGUGGAUUGAGAAUAUGCUAUGCAUGUUUUAUUUUGGUUUAUACUUUCGCUUUUCUUUUUUCAUAAACAUAAAAAAUGUUUUACCAAGUAGAAAACAUAAAAAAAACUACGUUGAAUGAGAUGAAGAAGGGAGGAAAAUAAAUGGAGAAGCAAAAGAGAAUAAAAAAUAAAGACAAAAAAGAAAAGUUAAAUGAACAUAAAAAAAAUUAAAUUGCUUAAAAUGAAAAAAUAUGGGGACCAGUUGUAUAAUUUAACUUAAAAUUUUUAUUUGAAAUGAUGAUUUAAUGUGCCAGAUCAUCUCACCGUUACACCAUUAAAGACAAUUAACAGCUUAGUGACUAAAAUAUUACAAUACGUUAACAUAAGUGACUAAAAUAAAAUAUUUUAAACAUAAAUAACUAAAAUAUAACAUGAGAUAACCAAAACUAACUAUUUUUACCUUAAUUUGACAGGUUACUUGUUAUAUGUGCUCGUUUAUUUAUGGAUUCAUAUAAUAAAAAUCAAACCUUAAUUAGUGUUGAAGUGUUUCAUUUCUCUCAAGGCACUCUAUGCUUUUGGCCUUUUGCUCCUCUGCAUGUUUUUGUUUUCACUUUAUACUAGAGGUGAUCAAAAUUCAAUUCGAUUCGAAAAAGUCAAAAAAAAUUUCGAAUUUCGAAUUAUUCGAAUCGAGUUAAUCGAAUUAAUCGAGUUAAUCGAAUUAACUCAAAUUUUUUUCGAAUUUCGAGUUCGAGUCGAGUUAAAUUUUUAAAUUCGAAUAACUCGAAUAAUUCAAAAAAAACGAAUAUAAACUAUAUUUUUUAAAUUUUUUAAAAUUUUGGGCUUUUACUUAAACCCAAUUUCCCCCAAGCCCAAACAUUUUAUAAUUUCCAUUUCCCCAAGCUCGUCUGCUCAAGCCCCAAAGAUUUAUUUUCCCAAAUCCCAAUUCCUUCCCCAAGUCAAACCUUCAACAAAUUCCAAAUCCCAAAUUAUUUUUCUUUUUCUCUUCAUUUCCAUUCAAUUCAAUUCAAACUCUAAAAUCUAUUUUUCUCAAAAUACCCUAAACUCACUUAUUUAUUCACUUAUUUACUUCAAUUUUUUGUUUUAUAAAUUUUUUUUUGAAAAAUUACAUAAAAAUAAACAAACUAAAAUUAUUUUUUUAAAUUUAACUCGAACAAAUAUAUUCGAUUCGAUUCGAUUUGAUCGGAUGCUCCCCGCUACUUUAGGCAAUAAAGAAAGAGGUGCCCAACAGCCUCCUCCGAUCAACUCCCAAAACCCAAGUUCUAACUUCUUCAAUAAACUUCUACAGUUUUUUCUUUUUCUACUGUUUGAUCGACCCUUUCUUCAGAUUAAAAAAAAAAAAACCCUAGACUUCUUCAAUGUCACUUUUACAUUUCUUUCAAGUCUCUAAAAAAGCAUUUGGCUUCGUUUCGCGACGAGGGAGCCAACCAAAUUCCACACUUCCGGAGGAACUAUGCAUUCGUCAGUUUUCACUAGCAGAGAUCAAAGCUGCGACUGCCAACUUCGAUGAAGGCUUUAUUAUUGGUAUAAGUAAUUUUGGAUCUGUAUACAAAGGGGUUAUAGAUGAUGGGACCUUUACAGUUGCUAUCAGACGCAUGAAAUUUAGUCUUAGUGCGUUCCGAACUGAAGUGGUAUUCCUUAGCCAGCUGAACCACUUAAAUGUUGAAUCUCUCAUUGGAUUCUGCAAUGAGAAGGGGGAAACAAUCCUUGUUUAUGAAUACCUGAGCAAUGGGUCGCUCUUUGAUUAUCUCCAUGGUAAUGGUAUCAGUUGCAAUCCAAUUGCCUGGGAAAAGAGGCUACAAAUCUGCAUUGGUGCAGCGCGUGGAUUACAUUACCUUCAUACCGGAGUAAAGUAUAUAGUACUGCACCGCAACGUGACCAGCAACACUAUUCUUUUAGAUCAUGAAUUGGUUCCUAAACUUUCUGGGUUCUUUUCGUCCAGGUUAGGGCCUCAUAGCAUGUCAAAAGCUUCAAUUAAAAAAGAGUCGCUAGAUGUGAUGGCUACUUUCGGAUGCCUUGAUUCAGAAAAUCUGUCAGGAAAAAAUGAUGUCUAUGCAUUUGGUGUUGUCUUACUCGAAGUAAUUUGUGGUAAAACACCAGUCUUUGAAGCAAAUGGUCAGAAAAGAUCUCUGGCUGCCUGGGCAAAUUGGUGUUUCAAGAAUGGGACCAUUUAUCACAAUAUUGAUCCAUAUUUAAAGGGGAGGAUAGCCCCAGAGUGCUUCAACAAGUAUGCGGAGAUUGCUAUGUCUUGUAUCUCUUAUAGCGCAGAUGAACGACCAUCCAUGGGUGAAGUAGAGUCGACUCUACAGGAUGCACUGGAACUGCAGAAGAAAGCAGACUCUGAAAUGAAAUGUAUAAUUCCUCACAGCGAGGUCAUGUAUGAAGUUGAACUAUUUUGUGCACCUUAAUAACAAUGAAGAAUGAAAAGCCAUGAAUUGUGAUAAAAUUUCUGGCAAUGAUAGCACAGCAGUUGGGGAUUUAAUAGCCAUUGAGGUAUGAAGAUACAAAACAGAUGUGCCUUUAGUUGAUGUCUAUGGGAACUACAGUGUUCUGUUUGUUUAUAGAAAGUUUCUUCCAUUGCUAUUGAAGAUAUAUAUCUAUACAUGCCAUUUCUAAAUUUGUUAACAGAAUUAGUGCCCUUUCUCAUUAGCAUGUAUACACCAAAUUUUUUCUCAAUUUACAGGACUUUUGUCUACUUGUUAAGGAAAGGAACAUGCGAUUGUGUUCACGGAUUUGCUUGAGUCAGUUGAUGUAUAAAAAUUGUUUGUUUGUUUUCAUUUGUCUGUUUCAAUUGCCAGCUGGAAAUCCAAGUAACCAGACCACCAUUGCUUCAACUUGCCCAUAUUCAUUCUCCUUGUCUACAUUUCUUUCUGUUGGCGUUUUGGAGGAGAGAAGGAAGAAAAACAGGACACAGUACAAGGCAGCAAGAUGCAAGAAAUAUUUUCAUUUGCUCACAAAUGUGCAGCAUGGGAGCUUAUGGCUUUUAGCUCAUUUUGCUCAUCUUUUUCAAUAAGAAAAACAAUACAUUUAUAGCCAAAUACAUCACCAAAUACUACCUACUACCACCAAGUAGCCUAAUAAAUUGAUAAACAUUGCUUGUACACAUAAACAAGCCAUCUAAAUUAGUUAUUCAACACCUAAAUGUAUCAAGCUGUUAUCAGCUUGUUCAUUUUCAACUAAGUUUAAUUACAAUGUAACUAAACAAAAAACAUUGCUGUUACAGCAAGCAUAUAUGCAGCAGCAUGUUUACAAGCUGCAUGCACUUCAACCAAAAAUAUCACAGCAGCAUGGUUGACCAAUUUUCAACACUUUCCUCGGUGGCAACAGAUAUAAUCACCUAUUAUUCACUUAAAGGUGAGACCCAUUUUUCAAUCCCACAGAAGUUUUCUCCCCGUAUAUAUAUACACAUAUGGCCUAACUAAUUCUUUAGCCCCCUAAGAGGUCUACUUGAAACCCACAUCACUAAUGGCCUGGGGUUCACUGCAUUAAGGAAGCAUCUGACUUAAGUCUCUUCCAAGCAAAACCAUCUCAAUAUUUCUUAAGCUCAUAGCCGGUGCAAUAAAGGUGAUGUAUAUAAACAAAUGAGCAUCCACAUCUCUCCCUUCUUUAACCAGUGCUUUUCCCACUUGUAAAGCAAGGCCAGCCCCCAAUUAAUGACGUGCAAUACCUACAGUUCUGCUUCCAUUCCUUUUCACUGAUUGAUUUUUAAUGCCUCAAUGCUCCUUUAGAUCUUACAGAGCUUUCUGAAGACCUCCGUAUCCCUUCUUAUAGUAGAGAUAACACAGCAUGGUGCUCCACUAGGUCUAAUGAGCACAAAGUCAGGCAGGGCCAGUCACUGAUCCCAUUGUAGUACUGCUACGAAUAUAUAAAUCCAUCCCUUUCAUCAAUCAAAGUCUGGGGUAGCUAGAAGGUCAUCCACCGGCUUGGGGCAAAGAGCAUUUUCCUCUGUUCUGCUAUCUUGUCUUGUAAUCACACUGCCUCAUUUGGGGACUACACAUCAGCUGUAACUACUUUUAAGUGCUGAACACAUCAGCUGAUGUUCUAUACACAUUGCUUUUAAUAUAUGUAUUCGUAAUAUGCAUUUUCUUUAAAAAAAAGAUGAGUUGUUGUAUCAUUCAUUUUUACGUGGAUUUAAUUUGAGUUAUGGAUAUUGAUAUAUAAGUAUAAAAAUAUGUAUAUAUUUAAUGCGGUAAAUUCAAAAAAAAUUAAAAUCUUUUUUAUAUAUUUAGAUGAUUAUAUUAUGUAACACACAAAUAUUAGACACAUGCACUAUAAGAAUCCAUUAAACAUAAAUUUAGUUAAACUGGGGACAUAUUAAAACAAGUGAAACUAUCAUGUCCAAUGGAACUGUGUAAAUUCUAACCUUCAUCGCUGAUAAUAACUUAUAUGAAUAGAAACACCAGCAAAAUACCCUCAAUAAAAAGCCUGAUGGAAAUUUUGUUCACAAGUUUUAUUAUGUUCUAAAAACCAAUCCUUCAAAAGAAAAAAUCCAAAAUAUAGAAGAGAAAAAAUAACAAAGUUGUUACUAAUAUCGGGCCAAGCUCCUUUCCAUUAUUAUUUUUAUCCAUUAGUAUCCUAUAUUAAUUUAAUCACCAUUCAUGACCGAAUCCUAUACAUAUAAAUGGUGAUUAUACAUUUAUUGAAAAAUAAUGAAUUAGAUAUUAACAUGUGAUGAUGACAUAUUUUUUUAAACAAAACCUUUUGUAGCGACGUAAAAAUUAGCUUUAGCUUCGGUCGCUAAUUGUGGCGAUUAAAAACUUGGAAAUUGAAAUUUGAUUUAAAAUAAACCGGGAGUCGCCACCGAUCCUUUUUUCUAGGUGUGAUAGGACACCUAUUAGAUUUCUUUUUAAAAACGAGAAAAAGGCCGAGUUAAGGUCUACGUUAAAAGCCAGAGAAAAAUUAGGGUUCGGGAGUCGGUUACGCGCGAGGAAGGUAUUAGCACCCUCGCGACGCCCAAAAAUUGGUAUCUCAUAAACAAGUGUUGUCUUGAUUUUCAAAAAUAUGAGUUCAAAGUAAUAUUCAAUCGUGAUCCGAUUCAAAAGACAAAAACUUUCAAUUUUUGAUUUCCCUUUUUUUUUUUUUGAGAAGGGUAUACCGAUUAAACACGAACCGAAAAAUUCCACUCAACAUAGCAAUGGAACCGUCGACUUGGUAUUAAACCGAUAUGUUGCCUUUGAUUAUCGAAAUUAAUUUAGAAACAAGAACGUGAUUUUUUAAAACGUGUAAGACAAAAUGAAUACAGAAAUAAAUAAACAAAUGAAAGGACUAGGUAUACAUAUUGGAGCAAAUGACAAACAUAACAAAAAUAUUAAAACAAUAACCGUGCAUGCUAGAUUAAAUAUGACAAUAAUAUCGAAAACGAAAAAAAACAUUGAAUAUACAUAUGUAAAAGUGACAUUACGAAUAUAUACAUAAAAAUAGGGAUGAAAAGAUUUACAUAAUAAUAUUAAUAUGUGUACAUAAUAUAUAUAUAUACAUAUAAUAAAAUACAUGUAUUGAUAAUAUAUAUGAUAAGAAUAAAAUAAAUGUAAUAAUAUACAUAUAAGAAUAUAAAAUCUAGUUAAGACUAUGGAAAAUAUAUAAAACGACGUAUGAUUUAAAAAGAUAACAUUAAAAAUAUGUAUAUACACAAUAUAGAAUCAAAAAAUAUAUAUAUAUGUAAUACAUAUUAAAAGGAUACAUAUAAUAUACAUGUACUUCAAAAUAAUGUUAAAAGAGUAACUAUUAAUUAUAUUGCAUGAAAUAUACAUAUACAUUAGAAACGAUAACGACAUAGAAUGAACUUACUAGUACAUUACAUGGAUAUGUUCGUACGUGGGUAUAAAUAAAUGGGAUAUUAGAAAUACUCAAUAUUUAUGGUGUUCAAAAUAUAUACAUAACAUAAUAUAUAUAAAUAUAUAUAUACAUAACGUAGUAUUAAAAAUAAACAUAAUAUAUAUAUGUUGAAACUAAUAAUAAUAAAACCGUCGAUAAUACUUAAUAAGUGUAUGUCUAUACACUGAAAAUAUACGCAAUAAUACAUAAAGUAUAGUAUUAAAGCACAUGUCUUUAAUAUAAAAAAUACAUAUAUAUAAUAAUAUAAUAUUGAAACAUUUACAAAAUUUAUACACAAAAAAAAACCUAAUAGUAAUGCCACAUGUAUACAUAAAUAUAUUAAGUAUAUACAUACAUAAAAUAUACAAUAAUAUAACAACACUAAUAAUAAUAAUAAUAAUGUAAAAGUGACAAGGAUAUUGGAUAAAUAUAUAAAAUAAACAAAAAAGGACUAAAAUUAAAUCACAAACGAAGUUAUGGGGCCAAUUUAAAAAAAGACAAAAAUAUGGGGCCUAUUUGAACACGGGUAAAACCAUGGGGUAUUAAAAGUGCAAUAUUUCAAACUUUCCAAAAUGCUGCGCAGGUAAGGGACCAGAAUGAACUCGGAGCAAAACUAUUGGGGCCGAAUUAAAAUAAAAUAAACUUGAUUGUAAAUUAUCAGAAAAGCGGAAAGGCCAAACGCGCAAUUAGCCCUUCCGCUGUAAAAACACGCGGAUCCUGACCCGACCCGCACUAAAACUACGACGUUUUAAUUAUUAAAAGGGGGGACCAAAAUGCACCGUUUUGGUCCCCUGUAUAAGCAAAUUUUUUUUUUCAUUUGAAACAGCUGAGAGAGAAAAAAAAGAAAAGGGGGAGGGGAGAGGGAAGCCCGGAGUGAUUUCCGGCCAAGGGGGAGGGCUCCGGUCCGAUCGCCGGACCGUUGCCGGCGCCGGCGCCGGCCACCGCGGAAAAGGUAAUUUUCUAUUUUUUUCUCUUUUUUUUGCUUUUUAUUUCUUUAUGUUUAUUUGUAAAUUUUUAUGUAUUUGUGGUGAAAAAAUGGACUUAAAACAGUUAUUGAAAUGAAGAAUUACCUUCGGUUUUACUCACUUUUGAAUCUUCGAUCUUGUGUAUUCUGCCUGCUUGGAUGUUAUUUUGUGUUCAAACUCUAAUUAGGCUACUAUUUUUUGCUCUCCAAUCGAACCUUUCUGUCGUUUUUAUUUUUUAAGAAACAAAGAACAAUCCCCCCUUUACAAAUUUUCCAUUUAGGCUUUAUAGCCGAAUGUUCCAAAGAAGAGUACAAAAAAUAUUGUUUCUUCCAUUUGCUACUGCUCUGUUGCUGCUGUUGUUUUGUUUCCUUUUUGCAGGUACAGAGUUUGUUGUCAUGCAUACGGGGUGUGGGCGUGGCGUACGAGGACUGUGGAGGUAUGGGACUGUUGUAGUGGGCGUAUGGGGCGUGGCAGACGUCGGUGGUGACAGAGGCAAGUGGGCGCCGAAUGCUAGGGGGCUAGGGUUUGGGAUUAGGUAUUUUUGUUUCUGAUUUUGUGUAAUAGGCUGUUAGUUUAGUGGGCUGGUAGUUUAGGUUAUUGGGCUUCGGGUAUAUGGGUUCAGGGAUAUUGGGUUCUGGUUGUAAAUGGGGUUUGAAUUUUGGGUUGGCUGAUGUAUUAGUUAGGCUUAAUGGGUAUUGGGCUGUUUAGGUUAGGGUAGGUUAGUUGGGUUUUGGGGUUUAAUGGGUUAGUGAUUUAAUGGGGUUUGAAAUUGGGUUGAGGGAUUAUAAAAUUGUAAAUGGGUUCUCUGUAAUAGUAGCUAAAAUUGGCCUGUACAGCUGCCCCUCUUUGCUCAUUGUCGUGUAACGAGAAUAGAGCAAAGACACAAAGAAAGGCCAAUUUUGCCCUGUCUUGCGAGUCUUGACUUCAUUGGUGCUCUUCUUGUUCAGAUAGUCUUCUUCCAGUCCACUGCAUCUUGUAGCUUUAGAUUCAAUCCACUACAUCUUCUGACAUAUGCCUUGUAGCUUCAAUCUACUCCAAUGUAACUUCAAGGAUAUGAGAUUUGUGUCUUCGAUCUGCUUUAUUGUAACUCCAGAGAAAUAAAGUCUACAGCUUUGAUCUGCUUUUCUAUUGCUUCUGUGAGAUGAAAUUUGCGAUCUUCUCUUCUAUAACUCUAGCAAGGCAAGAUCUGAUAUCCUCGAUCAGCUCCACUGUAACUUCAGGAGACAAAAUCUGACAUCUUCAAUUAGCUCCAAUCUUUAUUCUUGACUCGGCAUGUGAUCUUGAGUUCAACUCGUUUCUCGUAAUAUGAAUUGACUCUUUAAAAACAGACAUUAAAAACAAAAACUAAAAAUAUCUCAGCAUGUGAACUGAGGCUCAACUCACUUUUCGCAAUAUGAGUUGAUUUUUUUUACAACAGAAAUUGAAAUUACCUCAGCGUGUCCUGAGGCUCAACUCACCUCUCACCAUAUGAGUUGAAAUUAAAACACAAAAAUUAAAAAUACCUCAGCGUGCCCCGAGGCUCAACUCACCUCUGGCAAUAUGAGCUGAUUUUGAAAAAGUAGAAAUUAAAAGGUGCAACCCACCUCUCGCAAUAUGAGUUGAUUCUUGAACAACAUAAAUUGAAAACAGAAAUUGAAAAUACCUCAGCGUGACCUGAGGCUCAACUUACCUCUCGCAAUAUGAGCUGAUUUUUUUGAAAAGUAGGAAUUGAAAAGCAGAAAUUGAAAAUACCUCAGCGUGCCCCGAGGCUUGACUCACCUCUCGCAAUAUGAGUUGGUUUUAGGAAAGUAAAAAUUAAAAACAGAAUUUGAAUAACAGAAUUUGAAAAUACCUCGACAUGUGACCCGAGGCUCAACUCAUCUCUUGCAAUAUGAGUUGAUUUUGACGAACGGAAUUUGAAAAACAGAAAUUGAAAAUAGCUCAGCACGUGAGCCAAGGCUCAACUCAUCUCUCGCAAUAUGAGUUGAUUUUUGAAAAACAGAAAUUAAAAGGCUGAACUCACCUUUCGCAAGAUGAGUCAAUUUUCUAAACAUAAACUAAAAAUACCUCAGCGUGCCCCUAGGCUUGACUCACCUCUCACAAUAUGAGUUGAUUUUGGAACAUAAAUUGAAAUUACCUCAACGUGUCUUGAGGCUCAACUCACCUCUCGCAAUAUGCGCUAAUUUUUGAAACAACAGGAAUUAAAAAUACCUCAGCGUGACCUGAGGCUUGACUCACCUCUCGCAAUAUGAGUCAAUUUUUUUGAAACAUAAACUAAAAAUACCUCAGCAUGUGACCUGAGGCUCAACUCAUCUCUUGCAAUAUGAGUUGAUUUUGACGAACGGAAUUUGAAAAAUAGAAAUUGAAAAUAGCUCAGCACGUGAGCCAAGGCUCAACUCAUCUCUCGCAAUAUGAGUUGAUUUUUGAAAAACAGAAAUUAAAAGGCUGAACUCACCUUUCGCAAGAUGAGUCAAUUUUCUAAACAUAAACUAAAAAUACCUCAGCGUGCCCCGAGGCUUGACUCACCUCUCGCAAUAUGAGUUGAUUUUGGAACAUAAAUUGAAAUUACCUCAACGUGUCUUGAGGCUCAACUCACCUCUCGAAAUAUGAGCUGAUUUUUGAAACAACAGGAAUUAAAAAUACCUCAGCGUGACCUGAGGCUUGACUCACCUCUCGCAAUAUGAGUCAAUUUUUUGAAACAUAAAUUAAAAAUACCUCAGCGUGUGACCUGAGGCUCAACUCAUUUCUCGCAAUAUGAGUUGAUUUUUGAAAACAUGAAUUAAAGAUACCUCAGAGUACCCAAAACAUAUCAUCUGGUGGAACUCAUGUGUCUUUUCCUUUGAUUCAAUACAACUAUCAUCACGUCCUUUGCUCUAUUGGAUUAACUGUAUAUGCCAUGCAUGAUGUUAUCAUGAUAUGCACAUGUUUGUCUUAAAUACCUUUAUGCCUACAUGAUUAUGCAGUGCUCCUUAAGCAUGUUUGUCGUAUGUCUUUUUUCGUCACGAUUCUUGUGAUGGUCCGCAUUCAUUAUUUCGGCUCUUGACUUUCUCUUUACGCCAUGUACCCGUCUUCAAGCUUCACGAGUAAUCGACGUUUCUCAGAUAACACUCUUUUUUCCUGGUUGAAUUAAGGCUCUUGUACUUAUCAAAUUUUCAUUCGGGUAAUGCUUAACAUUUCUUUUGUUUAGAGUAUGUCAUUUCACUAUUUAUCAUUAAAUAAACACAUAAUGAGAUGCAUGAAAAUGGUCAGGUCGGGACAAAAAGGAUAUCUCAUAUUCCUUUAUCACAAAUGUGGCAAACAAAGAAAGUUAACCAAUGAGAGUAAAAAUGCCAGAAAGAAAGGAUCGUAUUCGAUGGGUACAAAUGCUCUAGAUAUUCAACACAUGAACUUUUCCACGUUCCUCAAUCAAGAAUCUUUUCGAGCAUGGCUUCUUGCGUAGAAAAUUUCGAGCUUUCAGAAAUGCUUCAAAUACAGUAACCUCACUGUUCGACCCACUGUUCAAAAUGCCACGCUCUUUAAGCCAGGUUUACCUCAUUAGGAUGCCCUCUCGGGUUUUCAUCCUAAUCUUUUGUUCUAAUCAAGACGCCCUUUGUGGGUUUUCGCCUUGAUCCCUUUUUUUUUUAAAGAUGCCCUUUUCGGAUUUUCAUUUUGAUUUUCUCUUUCAAGCAUAAUAUUUCUUCACCGCAUCUGAAUUCACCGAAUUCGGUAACUCCUUCCCAUCCAUCUCGGUAAGGAUCAAAGCUCCUCCUGAGAAUGUCUUCUUUAUGACGUACGGUCCUUCCCAGUUUGGUGCCCAUUUCCCUCGCAGAUCUUUUUGUAUUGGGAGAAUUUUUCUCAGCACGAGUUCUCCUUCAUGGAAUUCUCUUGGUCGUACCUUCUUGUCAUGGGCUGCGAUCAUUCUUUUUUGGUACAUCUGCCCGUGACAAAUUGCCCUGAGACGCUUUUCUUCAAUGAGGUUCAGCUGAUCAUAUCGAGCUAGUACCCAUUCUACUUCUUCUAACUUUGAUUCCAUUAAGAUUCACAGAGAAGGGAUCUCAACCUCGAUAGGUAGCACAGCUUCCAUUCCAUAGACUAGAGAAAAAGGAGUUGCUCCCGUAGAUGUUCGCAUAGAUGUGCGAUAUGCAAAUAGAGCAAAUGGAAGCUUCUCGUGCCAAUCUUUAUAUGUCUCAGUCAUUUUCCCAAUGAUCCUCUUGAUAUUUUUAUUGGCUGCUUCAACAGCCCCGUUCAUCUUUGGGCGAUAGGGCGAGGAGUUAUGAUGCUUUAUGUGGAACUGUUCGCACACUUCUUUCAUCAUCUUAUUGUUCAGAUUAGUGGCAUUAUCUGAAAUGAUUCUUUCAGGCAAACCAUACCGGCAAUUGAUUUUUUUUUUCAAAAACCUGCAAACUGCAGUCCUCGUCACAUUGGCAAACGAAGCGGCUUCUAUCCAUUUUGUGAAGUAAUCGAUGACCACAAAAAUGAAUCAAUGUCCGUUUGAUGUUUUUGGAGAAAUUGGCCCUAUAACGUCCAUGCCCAACAUAGCAAAAGGCCACGGAGAAGUCAUGACGUGAAGGGGCGAAGGGGCUACAUGAAUUUUAUUACCGUAGAUUUGACAUUUGUGACAUUUUCUUGCAAAAUUGAUGCAGUCACUUUCCAUCGUCAACCAAUAAUAACCGAGUCUCAUGAUCUUUCAGGCCAUAUUGAAACCAUUGGCAUGUGUUCCGCAGAUUCCCUCAUGGACCUCUUCAAGUAUUUUUCUAGCUUCAACAUCAUCCUCACAUCUCAAGAGCAUCUGAUCUUUUUCUCUCUUGUACAAGAUGUCCCCAUUAAGAACAAAUCCCGCUGCCAUUCUUCUGAUUGUUCUUUUGUCGUUCUCAUUCGCUUGUUCGGGGUAGUCUUGAUUCUUGAUAUAUUCUAAGAUAUCAUGGAACCAUGGACGCCCGUCUGCUUCUUUUUCAAUACUACAACAGUGUGCAGGGACCUCGUAUAUGCUCAUUUUGAGAGGCAUUAUUUCUGUUUCUUUACUUGCUUUGAACAUUGAAGCCAAGGUGGCCAGGGCAUCAGCCAAUUGGUUUUCUUCUCGCGGGAAGUAAUGAAAAGUUAUUUCUUUGAAUUCUUUGAUCAAUUCAGCCACUAAAUCACUGUACUUAAUCAAUUUUGGGUCCCUCACUUCUCGCUCUCCACGGAUUUGGUAAACCACUAGGGCUGAGUCCCCGUACACCUCUAAGAUUUUGAUGUUUCGUUCAAUAGCUGCACGAAGUCCCAUGAUACAGGCCUCAUAUUCUGCUAUGUUAUUGGUACAGAAGAAAUUCAGUCUUGCAGUGAACGGAUAAUGAUUCCCGUCUGGUGAUACCAGGAUUGCUCCAAUUCCAUACCCUAAAGCAUUUGACGCACCAUCAAAGCACAUCUUCCAUGACUUCUCUUUUGAUGACUCGGAUUCUAUUUCUAUGAUGCACAUUAAGUCUUUGUCUGGGAAAUCGAAUCUUAAAGGCUCAUAUUCCUCUAUCGUUCGAGUUGCUAAGAAAUCAGCUAUUGCGCUCCCUUUUAUCGACUUCUGACUUACAUAGGCAAUGUCAUAUUCCGAAAGGAGGAUCUGCCAUCGUGCCAUUCUUCCUGAUAGUGCCGGCGAUUCCAUCAUGUAUUUUAUUGGGUCCAGCUUGGAAAUUAGCCAUGUCGUGUGAUACAACAUAUAUUGUCUGAGUCUCCGAGCUACCCAAACCAAAGCGCAACAAUAUUUCUCAAUGGAUGAAUAUUUUGCCUCAUAUUCAGUGAACAUUUUGCUGAGGUAGUAGAUCGCUUUUUCUUUCUUUCCUGACUCGUCGUGUUGCCCCAGUAUGCAACCCAUUGAACUUUCGAACACAGUCAAAUACAAUAUCAAUGGUCUUCUAAGAGUUGGCGGUACUAGCACUGGAGGACUAGACAAAUAUUGUUUUAUCUUAUCAAAGGCCACCUGGCAUUCCUCGUUCCAUUCUCCCGGGUUAUGUUUUCGAAGAAGCCAAAAGAUUGGGUCGCAUUGGUUGGUAAGUUGAGCGAUAAAUCGGGCGAUGUAGUUUAAUCUCCCUAAAAAUCCUCUAACUUCUUUUUGCGUGCGCGGAGGUGGUAAUUCUUGGAUGGCUUUUAUUUUAUCUGGAUCAACUUCGAUACCUCUUUCACUGACAAUGAAGCCUAGCAACUUUCCCGAGGUAGCCCCGAAUGUACAUUUGGCUGGAUUAAGCUUUAGCUGAAACUUUUCCAGCCUUUCGAACAACUUCUUAAAGUUCACUACAUGCUCUUCUUCUCCUCGAGAUUUAGCAAUCAUAUCAUUGACAUAGACCUCUAUUUCUUUAUGCAUCAUGUCAUGGAAUAAUGUCACCAUAGCCCUCUGAUAUGUUGCCCCAGCAUUCUUUAACCCGAAUGGCAUCACCUUGUAGCAGAACGUUCCCCACAUUGUUAUGAAUGUAGUUUUCUCCAUAUCCUCAGGGGCCAUCUUGAUCUGAUUAUACCCCGAGAAUCCAUCCAUGAAAGAAAAUAAUGAAUGUUUUGCUGUGUUGUCCACCAACGUAUCAAUAUGUGGUAAGGGAAAAUUAUCUUUUGGGCUUGCUCGAUUCAGGUCACGGUAAUCCACGCACAUUCGUACUUUCCAUCUUUCUUUGGUACCGGGACUAUGUUAGCCACCCAUUCUGGAUAUUUGGAGGCUUGUAAGAAGCCAGCGUCAAAUUGCUUCUCGACUUCUUCUUUUAUUUUCAACAGCAUUUUCGGCCUCAUCCGUCUUAAUUUUUGCUGGAUGGGCUUGCAUUCUGGCUUUAAUGAGAGCUUAUGGACCACUAAAUCUUCAUCUAACCCUGGCAUGUCCUGGUAUGACCAUACGAAAACAUCUUUGUAUUCGCGGAGCAAAGUGAUCAAACUAUGCCUGGUACUUUCUGAAAUAGAAGUCCCAAUCUUCACUUCUUGUUUCAGUGCCCAAAUUUAUUGUUUCCACAGAUUCUUCAUGAGGCAGAAUCUAUUUAUCCUCUUGUUCCACCAUUCUUAACAAUUCAGGAGACAAGACAUAAUCUUCAGCAUUUUCUUCGGCUUCAAAUUCUCCUAAGCAAACAGCCUUCUCAAAAACAAUUUCAAGAUUCGUAACGGGCUUAUUCAUGUCGUCAAUAUCUGAGCACCUGAAAGUUGAAUGGAAAAGGAAGCUAUAGGGGGACAUCCAAGUAUUGGAAACAACAAAAAAAAUGUUAUGUCAUGGCAAUGAGACAAAUGUAAGGAUAGGCUAUAAAAUGAGAAAAUGAUUAUGAAAUUAGUGAUAACGCGAAAAAUCGUGACAAAAUGCAUUUUCAUUGAUAUUCAUUUAAAUGAUAAAGAGCGAAUGCAAGCUCUUACAAAAGAAUUCUAUUAUAUCUAAGGACACAAUAGAAGGUUAAUGUUUAGCAUUACUCUGAAGACUUAUAAACUAUGAGAAGCUCCUUAGCAGUCCAAUUGUUCAACAUGAAACCAGGAGGGCAAGGGCGUAUCCUCGAGACAUUCUUACUUGCACCAGCCUCUUUGUCAAUGACAUUUAUACUGACAUUCUGAAAACCCCUUUCAAUUAACCCCGGCAUGUUUCGUGGAUCAUCUUGUCCAGGGUACAUCAUUCCCGCAGAUGUAAAUGUUUUUGACAAAGGAGGGUACUCUAUUGGUUCCCAUUCUGGUUCUCGGCCCAAAUUUCUUGCAAUUCUUCUCUCUUGAUCCUUCUUCCACUGUCUUCUUCUUUGACGCAUGUCAGGCUGGAACCCCAAACCGUAUUGGGCCUUGUGGUGCACUGGCUUUAAAGCCCUAACUAUUCCUUGCAGAUGUCUCCCUAAACCUCUUCUCGUACGAGCUCCCCUUUCCACGGUCAACUUGACACCCAUUCUGGUAUUUCUCGACAGUUUUGGCAUCGGAAUUCUGUUUCCCUCAGCGAUGAAAGUGGCAUUGAUGAAUUCAAGGGAUCGAAAGGAACAUUCCACUGCGUCUUUGCUUACUUCCAGGUAUGGCGCAUCAGCAGAGAUAGAUACGACGAUGUCUUCUUCGCCCUCGACUGUGACCAAACAGCCAUCCAUGAUAAAUUUCAACUUUUGAUGGAGGGAUGAUGGGACUGCUCCAGCAGAAUGGAUCCAAGGUCUUCCCAAAAGGCAGUUAUAAGAGAGUGUAAUGUCCAUGACUUGGAACUCGACCUCAUAGACAUAAUGGCCCACUUCCAAAGGGAUUUCGAUCUUUCCCAUGACUUCGCGCCUCGUCCCAUCCAAUGCCCUUACCAUGGAAUGACAGGGCUUUAAGUAGGACAAAUCCAUCGGUAUUCUGAAAAGCGUAGCCAAUGGCAUAACAUUUAACGCUGACCCAUUAUCGAUGAGUACGUUCGGUAUUAUGCAGCCCUUGCAGCGGGUCGUGAUAUGUAGCGCUUUCACCGAGCCUCUACCAUUUAGCGGUAUCUCAUCAUCACUAAAAGAGAUGAAAUUGUCCGCAUUCAGAUUGUUUACCCACCUAUCAAGCUUUUCGACAGAUAUGUUGUUGGCCACAUAAGCUUGAUUUAACACCUUCAAUAAAGCAUUCCGGUGUGGCUCUGAAUUUAACAGUAGAGAUAGAACUGAGAUUCGUGCUGGCUGCUUGCUCAAUUGUUCCACCACACUAUACUCGCUGUGCUUAAUAAAUUUCAAGAAUUCUUAAGCUUCUUCCUCAUUUACAGGCUUUUUAGUUUCUUGCACGGGUGGAAUUUCUUGCUCGACUUCGACUUCGUGCAUCACUGCUUUCCCUUUUCGCUUCGAGUCGCUACUUUUCUUUACCGGUUAAACUUCUUUAGAAUAGCAUCGUCCACUUCGAGUAAAAUGACCUACCUUCCCAACAUCUUCAGUUAUGGCUUUGGACUUUUCAACUUCUGGUGUAACGAUAUUAACAUCAUAUCUCCACGGUACUGUUUUGUUGUCCUUAUACGGGAAAUGAGACGGUACUUCAAUUACCAUCUGUGGUUUCAAUGGCUCUCUCAUCGCGUCGUAAUAAAUUACCAACGGUCGAUCAGCACUAUAAGGGGGCCUUGAUGAUUGGCUAUCAGAGACGCAUACUUCUCUUUCGUUGGCAUCUUCCCUCUUGUUAAGGACCUUGAUCUCCUUAUUAUCCAUCCGGUCUUGAAGUAACCUUUUAAAGUCCUCACAUGACUGAAUGUCAUGUCCAACAAUCCCAUGAAAAUUGCAAAAACUUUGACCUUCUUCUCCAAAAAUUCUAUCAGAGUGACAGAGCAAUCCUUUCUUAACCAAUACCUCCCAGAUUUUCUGCAGAGGCGUCCUUAAUUCUGAAACACAUCUUCUGACCUUCCAUUCAUCCUCUUUCCCCACUGUGCUCACAUUCCCUUCUGUAUGGUUAGGGAACGGGUUCCCCGUGGCGUUACUGGCACUAUCGAAUCGUAGGAUACCCGUGUCAAUGAGUCCUUGAACUCUCCUUUUGAAAGAGAGACAGUUCUCAGUAGAGUGCCCCUGGUUCCCUGCGUGGUAUGCACAACUAGCGUUUGGAUCGUACCACUUUGGGUAUGGAGGUUUAAGGGGUGCCAUGUAAUAGGGAGAAAUCAGUUGUUUUUCCAAAAGUUUUGGGUACAAUUCCUUAUACGACACAGGGAUGGGGGUAAAUUGCGGUCUCUCGGGAUUAUGCCUUGCUGGUCUUGGUUCGUUUCUGGGUUGGCUUUGGGCGAGUAUCGUGUUUUGUGGGAAAGUAGUGACGGGUCUUUGGUUGUUCGUGGCGUAUACGGGGUAGGACGGAUGUGGUGCUUGGUAGUAAGGGGUUUGAAGGGGAUAAUAGAAAUUCAGGGGUGAAUAAUUUUGAGGUCGGGGUUGGUUAAGAUACGAAUUGGGAAUGUAACGACUCCCAGUUCCCACCAUGUGGGCUUCAGGCUAUUUCUUUCUUACGGGUGCUGCUUUUCUUGAGCCUUCUGAUCCUUCCAUUCUACCGCUCUUGACGGUAUUCUCUAUGAGUUCACCGGAUAUUACAAUAUCCGCAAAAUCCUUCGUGACACUUCCCACUAAUUUGUCAUAAAACGGUGCCUUUAAAGUAUUGAUAAAGAGAACGGUUAUCUCCGUUUUUGUUAGUCGGGGUUCCACUUGAGCUGAGACGUCUCUCCAUCUCUGCGCAUACUGUCUAAAAGUCUGAUGGCUUUUUCUCCAUCAUUUGCAAGGUCAUACGGUCUGGCACCAUAUCCGAUACAUGCUUGUACUGAUCACAAAAUGCUGACGCCAAGUCCUUCCAGGAUCGAAUUUUUCUCUACUAAGUUGAUAGUACCACCGAAGAGCUGACCCUGUUAGACUAUCUUGAAAGCAAUGUAUGAGUAGUUUAUCCUCGUUCACAUAACCGGUCAUUUUUUGACAGAACAUAAUGAGAUGUGCUUUUGGGCACCUUGUCACAUCAUACUUCUCAAAAUCAGGCACUUUGAACUUCGGGGGCAAAAUUAAAUCAGUACCAAACUGAGUUCCUUGGCACCUAGUGCGGAGAAGACUUCAGUGCCUUCUAUUACUUUGAGUCUUUCCUCUAGACUCCUAUAUUUUGUGUCAUGGUUAUCCAAUUUCAACUUGGCUACCUCUGCUGGGUCAUCUAGAUCUGGAACUAGUGGAUCAGCAGGACUAGCCCCUGGGUCCGACGCGAAUAUUCCUUGCCCUAAAUUUAUGGGUGGAGCAGGUGGCAUAGGUCGAUGUUCCAAGCCUGUGGGUUCCCCUAGAGUAUACCCUCUUUGUGUUGUAUAUGCGAGCGGUGGAGUGUAUCCCGGGGGAUAGAGUGGAUCUUGAUCGUGGCGAAUUCUUGACUGAGGUUCCAUAACAUCGGGGUUCUGUAUUUUUCCUUUGAUCAAAGUUGUCAUCAUCUCCAUCAUUUUAGCCAUUUGAUCUCUUUGCUUGAGUGAUUCCUCUCAAGAUCUCACCAUUAGGUCUUUCGUCUCUUGUUGCGAUUUGGCCAGUUGCUCUUGUAAUUCCUUUUGAGCCCUUUCCAUCCUUUCAAUUCUCUCAUUGAAUUCAGCUUCCAUUACUCUAGCUUGUCGGCGCAUUUUAUAGGAAUAACGUGGUUCCAGAUUUGAAAUCUUGCAACUGCGGAUUAUACGGUUCUUUAGUUUCGGUGGAUGAUUAUGGUGAUAUGUACACGCGAUGAAUGAAUGACUGAGUAUAUGAAUGGAUGAAUGUCCAAAGAAUAAAUGAUGCAUAAAUGUUAGUUAUGAAUAAACAUGCAAUAAUUUGGUGUUGAUUUCAAGAUAGCCCCAUAUUUAGGCAUUUCAUUUAUCAACAUAGUCUAUUACACAAAGUUUCCAUUUUUCCAACGGUUACACAAAUUUCCUAGCCACAUUGCCUUGUUUCUUCACUUGCUCUAAAAACUCUGAUAUGCUCGAUCUUUGGCUCGGAGGGAAUUGGCAACUGAGAACUUCGGCUUCAUCUGAUAAUUGAACAACUUGCAUAGCCGCUUUGCGAAUUUCAUUGAUCAAGAAGUCGAGUUGCAUUUCUUUUUCUUUGAGAGUUCCUUCAUACGCGUGAAUGUCCCUAUCGUACUGCUCACUCUUUUCUUCUAGAGCCUUCAGGAGGUUAUCUAAUUGUUGUUGACGAGAUUGCAGCAUAUUUUCUAGAUCUCGUGUUUUCCUUUUUAAUUCUUGAUGUUCAGACUGACAUUCGCAAAUUCUGCAGUCACCAUUUCAUACUCGGCGCUCUUCCUUCUUAACUCUAUCACAGCGCGCGCAGCCUUUUCUUCAUCUUUCUUUGCUUUUCCCUUCCAAAAUUCCAUUCCUCCCUUGAUAUUGCUAAUUUCUUCCUUCCAUUCUGCUGCCGACUUGCCCAACCCGCUAUUCUUUAUAGUGUUUCUUAAUUUCUUGUUUUCCAAAUGAAGGUCCCUUAAGUCGUUUCUCACGAUCUCUGCCUCUCUUUGUACUUUUUCAGUUCUGGACCUUUCAACCUGAACUUCAAUCUUCAGUUGAUAGUUUUCUUCUUGAAGGGCACUAAGGUCCCGAGACAUCUUGGCCUUUUCUCGUUCGAAUUCUUGUCUUGCCAUUUCUAGCUCAGACGGCGUUUCCUCCGAGAAAGAAUUCUGGAUGGUGUAGUUUGUUGACGAGAUUUGCUGGCUAUUUACCCGUUGCUUCCUCCAUAUGUCGUAAUCUUGGGUAAGGGUAUCAGCAUACAAGGCUAAUUCCAUGAAAUGAAUUUCCUUCCAAGACUUUGCAGUGUCUCGGACUCUCUUCAUAUAUCCUUCACCCGCGAAAGCGAACUCGAACUGUGCUAAUCCUCCAGUUGCGGGUAGGAAUUGUCGCGAAGAAAAUUGCCUUUGGACCAAUAGCGGAGCAUAUCCAACUCCUCCCCAUAACCCAAGUAAAGGUACCCAAUCUUGGCUUCCACAUUUGUAUACCAGAACUGAAGGACAGAUCCAGGGUGUUCUCCAUGUUAUAUCCUCGGCGCGAAGAUUCUGAAAGACUGAUACCCAACGUUGCUUGGUGACUUCCUUCGGCCAUUCUUUCUUGAGGUAAGCUUCUAGCGGGGCAAAUGUUUUUGAAAACUGAUGGAACGGAGUGCGCUCUACUUUCCAAAAAUGACUCAAAAUCCAAACAUUGAGCAAGUGAGCACAUCCACUAAAUCGUCCCUUUCCAACCCUUCGACAAGUACUCAGGGACCUGAAGGUCUCGGCUAGGAUAGUCGGGACAGGGUUGACUCCUUGUUUUAACCUUUCGAAGAAAUCAACUACUGCAACUUCGAGAUGUCCGAGAACUUUUGGGAAAAUGACCAAACCAUAAAUGGCCAAAGCGAAUAGAUUUACCCUUUUCAGCAUGUCGGGAUGGUUCAGAGCCAAAUCUCGUAGGGAGGACCAUGGAAUGCAAAUGGUUUCAUUCUUCUUCUUUAUCUGUUUUUCAGCCCAUGCAUCAGUCAUGUCUGUCAGUCUCACUAACUUUUUCUUGAAGGUCAUCGGCUUAGGCUCCUUCACAUAUAUUUUGCCAAAUUGUACAUUGUCGAUGCGGAGUAAAGCAGCAUACUCUUCUAUGGUUGGAGUCAUGUUUUCUUGAUUGAAGGUGAAACACUGAUAAGUUGGGUCCCAGAACCGAACCAUGGCUUGAAUCAACUGUUCGUCUACACGGAUGGUGAUCAGGUGAGCUAUAUCUCCAUACCUUUCAGUGAAAAUGUCUCUAGUGUCUGAAUCCCACUGAUUCCAAAUUCGAACCAAAUCCUCAAGGUUAUUUUGGCGAACAUUUACAGUUAUAUGUUCGGGCAAAUUGGCAACACACCCUUCCACUAGACUAUCCCCCUUUUCUCUCUGAGUUUUUAGAGACCAGUCCCGAACCACGACAUUCUUCUCGGUUAUUUGUGUAAUUGACUCCUCCAUCAGAAACCCGUUUUUUGGCAACCAACCUUUAAUCAACACCUUCCUAAUAUGAUGCCUAUGAUGCAUGAUGAAAAUAAAAAUAAAAACAAACAAACUUGGUUAGUAAACACAACAAAUAUAAUUUGAAAAACAAAUUAAACUACCCAAUCCAAUUAUUUUGCAUAAACAGUGUAAAUGAAAGGCAAAAGGCAUUUUCCCCGUGUACUUAUUUUGGUGACUAUAAUCGGACAGAGGUUCAGCAUGGCUCUAAUUGGAUAGCUUGUAUGGUUCGUUAUAUGCAGUCUCGGUUCUAGACAGGUACUCGAAUUGCUCGUACUAUCAUCUGCUAAGAUCAGCACGAAGCCUUGGUCAUAACCUAUCACAGGCUCACGAGUUCAAUUCGAGGGAUUACAUUUACUUAUGCCUAUGCGGAGGGACAAGUUAACUCACGAAAGCAUAAGUCAUAUGUAACCCGAAAGUAUUCACUAGCCUGUGCGGAGGGACGAGUUAACUCACGAAGGCGUAGCGUUUACUUUCACUUAAACGGACGGAGCCCGGGUAGAGAACUCAUGUUAUGCGAAAAUGCAAGUGCAGGGUGUGUGGGGAAAAACUGUAACACCCCUUACCCGAGACCAUCUCCGGAAUCGAGUACGAGAUGUCAUCCAAUUUAACUUACCGAUUCGGAGCAUAAAAAUUUGCUUUUAAAAUUAAAUUCACUGUUCAUAACAACACUGUCCACCUGCGCAACUGUCACUAAUUUAAUUAUAACUUGAGUUACGAAACUCAAAAUUUAAAUCCGUAAAUUUUCUGUGAAACUAGACUCAUAUUCCUACUUACUAUAAAAGUUUCAGAAUUUUUGACUUAGCACAUUAGUACAGUUUAUUCAUUAAAGUAUCCCCUGUUUCACAGCUCGACAGAUCUGACCUCUUGGCGCUAAAAAUCAAAUAUCUAAUUGUACAGAAUUCAUAUAAGGUUACCAUUAAUUUAUUUUGAAAAUAGACUCACUAAGGAAUCUAAACAUAUAAAUUAUGACCUAUAAUUAUUUCUGUACAAUUUAUAAUGAUUUUCUAAAGUUAGAACAGGGGACUUCAAAAACCAUUCUGACCCUGUCUCACUAAAAUUUAAAUAUCUCAAAAUAUAAAAUUCCUUUGCCUACACCGUUUCUUUCAUGUAAAAAUAGACUUGAUAAGCUUUAAUUAUAUAUAUCAUUCACCCUCUAAUUCCAUUUCUACUAUUUAUGGUGAUUUUUCACAUUCACGUCACUGCUACUGUCAAAGAAACUGCUUCUUUGAAUUAGUUACCAUUUAAACAUACAUAACUCCAAAACAUAUUCUUUAAUAACUACUUCAAUAGCUAACAUUAGCCAUAUCAUUUGGACAUGCUCAAAAUGAUUAAGACUCUAUACAUGCCAUAGUUUAAACAUUUUGAAAAGCACAUAAUACCGAGAUGGUUAUGAUAGUGUGAUACGAGCUCCGACGGUCCACUAUUCGAUCAAGUUCAAAUCACUAUAAAACAAAGGAAAGAAAGAGAUGUGUAAGCUAUAAAUAGCUUAGUAAGUUACAUGUAAACAAUAAUUACUCAAUUAAUAAUUAACACUUUUAACAUAUAACUAAUCAAAACAUUUCUUAGCAAUUUCAAUCACUUACACAUACACAAUCUUACCAAUUCACUUGCAUAUACAUUUUCACACUUAACAUUUCAUAUUCGCUUUAAUUCAUUAUUAAUCCCGUUGAACAGUUGGAAUAUACACGGAUACGUAGAGAUUUAGCACAUAAGUGCCACACUGAUAUGUAGCCGAAGCUACCACUGAUAUGUAGCCGAAGCUACCACUGAAAUGUAGCCGAAGCUACCACUGAUCAAUAACACUGGAAAUGUCCACGGGCCUGCUCACACAAGCUGUCAGGUGUCUGCAACACAUGCUAGAUCACCCAGCACCCGGGACUCACUGUAACACUGUAACACUGUAACACUGGUCUCUAGUGACAUGUCACUUGUAUCCAAUUCUAUUCCUAAGUUCAACCGGGAAUUUACACUUAACACUUUAUUACUUGAAUAAUUCAUGAACAAUUUUCCUUCCACAUUCAAUAUUAAUUCACAUAUCAAAUAUAAUUCACAAUUUAUACAAAUAUAACUAUUAUUUACAUAUAACUUACCUCGGAUGCAAAACGACUAUUUUUUGUAAUUUAGUCGAUAACUUUCUCUUUUCCCCGAUCACUUCCACUAUUUCUUCUUUCUUGAUCUAUAUUAACACAAUUUAAUACAUUUUAUCAACAUUUCAUUCAAAUACAAUUCAUACACAACAUUUUGGCAAAUUUAUAUUUUUCCCCGAAACUUUUCAAAAAUUCCACUUUUGUCCCUAAGCUCGUAAAAAUAAAAUUCACUAAAUUUUUAAAUUUCAAACUUCAGUAAAUCAUAUUUAAUGCUCAUAACAGCCCUCAAUUUCACAAAAUCACAACUUUAUGCACACUUUACCAUCUUUCACAAUUUAGCCCUUUUUCAACAUUUUCAUCAAAAUUCAUCUAGUAAAACUUGUAAUUAACACUUCAAACAUUCAUUAUCUAACAUCACUAAUCAAUUUACAAUUAUAUCAUGAAUGGGUAAAUUUUCAAACUUUAAUUUCAUUUAAAUUAAAUAGUAGAAACAUGAAAUUCAAGCUUCAAUAAGCAUAAAAAUACGAAAAUAAUUAAAAACGGGGCAAGAAAUCACUUACAAUUGAGCUUAGGAAAAUCAAAACCCUUAACUAUGGUAACCUGAAACUUUCGGCAGCAAGCUUCUGAUUUUUUUGAAGAAGAUGGACACUUAUUUUCUCUUUAUUUUGUCUUUUACCCAAUUUGGACAAAAAUGCCCUUGACCCAUUACUUAGAUAUUUUUCUAGAAAUACCCUUUUGUGUCCAUAACACUAAUUUAUGGUCUAAUUGCCACAUAAACACUUCCAAUUUCAUGCAAUAAUUCAAUUAAGUCAUUUAAUCACUAAUUAGACACACUUUGCAUUUUUUUCAAUUUAGUCCUAAAAAUUCAAUUAAGCACUAAAGCAUUAAAAUUUCCUAUCCAUAUUUUCACACAAUAUUUCAAUCAAUCAGUAACUAAUAAAAAUUUAUAAAAUUAAACUAUUUCACUUCGGAUUUGUGGUUACGAAACCACUAUUCCGAUUAGGCCCUAUUUCGGGCUAUCACAAUUCUCCCCCCUUAGGGAUUUUCGUCCCCGAAAAUCUUACCAGUGAAUAAGUUGGGAUACUGUUUCCUCAUAGCCUCCUCGGUUUCCCAUGUUGCCUCUUCCAUCCCAUGUCGUUGCCAUAACACUUUCACUAAAGCAAUUUCUUUGUUUCUCAACUGUUUCACUUCUCGUGCCAAGAUUCGAAUCGGUUCUUCUUCGUAUGUCAUAUCCGAUCGAAUUUCCACUUCAGUCGGUGAAAUCACAUGUGAUGGGUCCGAUCGAUAUCGCCUCAACAUAGAAACAUGAAACACAUUAUGAAUUCUUUCCAAUUCCGGGGGUAAAGACAAUCGAUAAGCCACUGGACCAAUUCUUUCUAUCACUUCAUACGGACCAAUAAAUCUUGGACUUAAUUUACCUUUACGGCCAAAUCUCAGAAUUUUCUUCCAUGGAGACACUUUCAGAAAUACUUUAUCACCCACUUGAAACUCAAUCUCUUUUCUUUUCAAAUCCGCAUACGACUUCUGUCGAUCCGAUGCAGCUUUCAAACAAUCACGGAUUAUCUUCACUUUUUCUUCAGUUUCUUUUACCAAAUCGACUCCAUGUAACUGAUUUUCAUUAAGUUCAGUCCAAUAUAAUGGAGUCCGACACUUUCGUCCAUACAACGCUUCAUAAGGUGCCAUUUUUAUGCUGGAUUGAUAACUAUUAUUAUAUGCAAACUCCACCAAAGGUAGAUAUCUUUCCCAAUUACCUUCAAAUUCCAAUACACAACAUCUCAACAUAUCUUCGAGCACUUGAAUUACUCUUUCAGACUGUCCAUCGGUUUGGGGGUGAAAUGCUGUACUAAAAUUCAAUUUAGUACCCAAUGCCUCUUGUAAUUUCUUCCAAAACCUUGAAGUAAACCGUGGAUCUCUAUCAGAUAUAAUAGACGUAGGCACACCAUGUAAUCGAACUAUCUCAGCAAUAUACAAUUCAGCUAACUUGUCAAGUGAAAAACUCAUUCGCACAGGAAUGAAAUGAGCUGACUUAGUCAAUCGAUCAACUAUUACCCAAAUUGAGUCUUUCUUUUUCGGUGACAAUGGCAAUCCGGAAACAAAAUCCAUAGUAAUUCUAUCCCACUUCCACUCGGGCACCAUAAUAGGUUGAAGUAACCCUGAAGGUACUUGGUGUUCAGCUUUUACUUGUUGGCACACAAAACACUUUGUCACAUACUCAGAGAUAUCCCGUUUCAUACCCGGCCACCAAUAUAAUUUCUUUAAAUCUUUGUACAUUUUUACACUACCGGGGUGAACUGCCAAGCGACUAUCAUGUGCUUCUUGCAAAAUUUUCUGAAUUAAAUCAACAUUUUUCGGAACACAUAUUCUAUCACGAAACAUUAAACAUCCAUCUGAAUCAAUCUGAAAAUCAGAAUUAUUGUCCACUGCACACUGAGUCUUUCUUCUUUGUAAUUCAUUAUCCACUUUCUGAGCCUCAUAAAUUUCUUGAAGAAACAAUGGACUAGCUUUUAACUCUGCAAGCAAUGAUCCAUCUUCAGUCAAUGUUAAUCUUGUAUUCAAAGCUCUCAAAGCAAAGAGAGACUUUCUGCUCAAAGCAUCAGCAACUAUAUUGGCUUUUCCCGGAUGAUAAUCUAUUACAAGUUCAUAAUCUUUCAUCAAUUCCAACCAUCUUCGCUGCCGCAAAUUCAGAUCUUUUUGUGUCAUAACAUAUUUCAAACUUUUAUGAUCUGUAAAAACAUGACAUUUCUCACCAUAUAAAUAAUGACGCCAAAUCUUCAAAGCAAAGACAAUAGCAGCCAACUCUAAAUCAUGGGUAGGAUAAUUUCGUUCAUGCAGUUUCAAUUGUCGAGAAGCAUACGCUAUCACUUUUCCUUCUUGCAUCAAUACACAUCCAAGCCCAUUUAAUGACGCGUCACUAUAAACAACAAAUUCCUUUCCUGACUCAGGUUGCACUAACACUGGUGCCUCAGUUAAACACUUCUUUAAUUUCUCAAAACUUUGUUGACACUCCUCGGUCCAUUCGAACUUAACAUCUUUUUGCAACAAUUUUGUCAUCGGCGAAGCUAUCAUCGAAAAACCUUCUACAAAUCGACGAUAAUAUCCGGCUAAGCCCAGAAAACUCCUAACUUCAGAUACAUUUCUUGGAGGCUUCCAUUCAACUAUUGCCGAUAUCUUAUUCGGAUCCACUCGAAUGCCAUCUCCCGAGACAACAUGUCCCAAAAAUCCAACUUCACUAAGCCAAAAUUCACUUUUGCUAAAUUUAGCAAACAAUUUCUUUUCUCGCAGCGUUUGUAGCACAAUUCUUAAAUGUUCAGCAUGCUCGACUUCACUUCGGGAAUAAAUAAGAAUAUCAUCUAUAAACACCACAACAAAUUUAUCCAAAUAGGGCCGGAAAAUUCGAUUCAUCAAAUCCAUAAAAAUAGCUGGAGCAUUAGUCAGACCAAAAGGCAUUACAAGAAACUCAUAGUGACCAUACCGGGUUCUGAAAGCAGUCUUUGGCACAUCUGACUCUUUAACCCUCAAUUGGUAAUAUCCGGAUCUCAAAUCAAUUUUGGAAAACACUGUGGCAUCCUUUAACUGAUCAAACAAGUCAUCUAUUCGGGGCAAUGGAUAUUUAUUCUUUACUGUCACUUUAUUAAGUUGACGAUAAUCAAUACACAAUCUCAAUGUCCCAUCCUUUUUCUUCACAAAUAGCACGGGAGCACCCUACGGAGAAUAACUUGGUCUGACGAAUCCUUUAUCCGUCAACUCUUGCAAUUGCACUUUUAAUUCUUUUAAUUCAGUUGGUGCCAUUCUGUAGGGAGCAAUCGAUAUUGGAGCAGUACCUGGCAUUACUUCAAUACCAAACUCUACUUCUCUAAUCGGAGGCAAACCUGGCAACUCUUCUGGGAACACAUCUACAUAUUCACAUACCACUGGCACUGAUUCGAUCUUUAUUUCAGACACUUUUGUGUUCAACACAUAAGCAAGAUAUGCUUCACAACCAUUUUUCAAACAUUUCUGAGCAGACAUGGCAGAAAUCACAAUUGGCAUCACAUUUGACUUAUCUGUUUCAACCCGAAGAACUGUACCACUACCACACUUCAACUCAAGAAUUUUCUGACUGCAAUCUAUUUUGGCCUUAUGUAAUGUCAACCAAUCCAUUCCCAAAAUAACAUCAAAUUCAUCAAAUGGCAACAACAUUAAGUUGGCAGGGAAACACUGACCUUGUAUAAUCAAAGGACAAUUUUUGCAUAUUUUAUCAACUAUCAUAUGCUUGCCUAAAGGAUUCGACACUUUAACCACAUACUCAAUCAAUUCAACACACAAAUUCUUAUCAGACACUAAAUUCAUGCAUACAUACGAGUGAGUAGAACCAGGAUCAAUCAAUGCAAGAACAUUAGUGUCGUAAAGAGAAAAUAUACCAGUGAUCACAUCAGGAGAAGAUGCUUCCUCUCUAGCUCGGAUGGCAUAAGCUUUUGCUGGAGCUCCCACUUCAGAUCUUACAGUCGUGUCUUUUGUUACGACUCUACCACUAGUUCCAAUCCCCACAUUUCUCUGUGGUCUUCCUCUAGUAGUCACACUGCUCGAUCUCACAUUCUGAAACUUUUCUAUCUCUUCUCUUUUCGGACAAUCUUUCACAAAAUGAUCUUGAGAUCCACAUUUAAAACAAGCUCGGCUGAUUAAAUAACAUUCCCCCAAAUGUCGUUUUCCACAAUGUUAACAUUCCGGUCUAGUAGGUUUAACACUACCUGUACUUGCCAUAGAAGUUGCCUGAGCUUUAGAACCUGAAUAUUGUCUUCCUCGAUCUCUUUGAAAAUUCACACUAGAAACAUUCGAUCGAGUAUUCAUUUCUUUAAACUUCUUCGCUUGAGACUGAAAUGGCUUGCCCAUUGAUCUUUUUCUUUCAUCUCUUGCUUCACUUUCCACCUUUCUUUUCUCUUUGCUCAAUUCUUCAGCCUUGAUAGCUCUUUCAACUAGUACCACUAACUCUUUAAUUUCAAGAAUUCCCACUAGCAAUCGGAUAUCCUCGUUUAAUCCAUCUUCAAACCUUUUGCACAAUGUAGCUUCAUUAGAUACACACUCUUGGGCAUACUUGCUUAAUUUGACAAAUUCUCGUUCAUAUUCGGCUACCGUCAUGCGCCCUUGUUUCAAUUCAAGAAACUCUUUUCUCUUUUGAUCAAUGAAACGCUGACUCACAUACUUCUUUCGGAAUUCUUCUUGAAAGAAAUCCCAUGUAACUUUCUCUUUAGGCACCACUGACACUAAAGUUUUCCACCAAUUAUAAGCUGAAUCCCUCAACAAUGAGAUAGCACAUUUGAGACUCUCUUCUGGAGUACAAGAUAAUUCAUCCAACACUCUGAUGGUAUUAUCAAGCCAGAACUCUGCUCUUUCAGGAUCAUCAUUUACAUUAGCUCGGAACUCUUCGGCUCCAUACUUUCGAAUUUUGUCCACUGGAGGCUUUGACAAUCUUAACACUUCAGUUUGUUGAGGAGCUAUGGGAACAGCUUGAGGAAUAGGAGGGGGCGGAGGAGGUUGAGCAUUAGGAUUAGUUCUAACAAACUCAGUGUACCAAUUGUUCAUCAUUUGGAGAAAAGCUUCUCGAGCCUCAUCUCCUUGACCCUGAGUCUCAAAUCGACUUUCAACAGGCACAUUACUUUGAGCAUCAUCAGCUGUAUCUCGGUUAGAAUCCAUUACUAUAAAAAAAAACAUUUUAAGAUGUCAGGAGUCGUCACACUAUCAUUAUUCAAUUAUGGCAUGUAUAGAUAGUCUAUUACACUCGCUACGUUAGUCCGAGAAUCGACUAAACCGUAGCUCUGAUACCACUAAAUGUAACACCCCUUACCCGAGACCAUCUCCGGAAUCGAGUACGAGAUGUCAUCCAAUUUAACUUACCGAUUCGGAGCAUAAAAAUUUGCUUUUAAAAUUAAAUUCACUGUUCAUAACAACACUGUCCACCUGCGCAACUGUCACUAAUUUAAUUAUAACUUUAGUUACGAAACUCAAAAUUUAAAUCCGUAAAUUUUCUGUGAAACUAGACUCAUAUUCCUACUUACCAUAAAAGUUUCAGAAUUUUUGACUUAGCACAUUAGUACAGUUUAUUCAUUAAAGUAUCCCCUGUUUCACAGCUCGACAGAUCUGACCUCUUGGCGCUAAAAAUCAAAUAUCUAAUUGUACAGAAUUCAUAUAAGGUUACCAUUAAUUUAUUUUGAAAAUAGACUCACUAAGGAAUCUAAACAUAUAAAUUAUGACCUAUAAUUAUUUCUGUACAAUUUAUAAUGAUUUUCUAAAGUUAGAACAGGGGACUUCAAAAACCAUUCUGACCCUGUCUCACUAAAAUUUAAAUAUCUCAAAAUAUAAAAUUCCUUUGCCUACACCGUUUCUUUCAUGUAAAAAUAGACUUGAUAAGCUUUAAUUAUAUAUAUCAUUCACCCUCUAAUUCCAUUUCUACUAUUUAUGGUGAUUUUUCACAUUCACGUCACUGCUACUGUCAAAGAAACUGCUUCUUUGAAUUAGUUACCAUUUAAACAUACAUAACUCCAAAACAUAUUCUUUAAUAACUACUUCAAUAGCUAACAUUAGCCAUAUCAUUUGGACAUGCUCAAAAUGAUUAAGACUCUAUACAUGCCAUAGUUUAAACAUUUUGAAAAGCACAUAAUACCGAGAUGGUUAUGAUAGUGUGAUACGAGCUCCGACGGUCCACUAUUCGAUCAAGUUCAAAUCACUAUAAAACAAAGGAAAGAAAGAGAUGUGUAAGCUAUAAAUAGCUUAGUAAGUUACAUGUAAACAAUAAUUACUCAAUUAAUAAUUAACACUUUUAACAUAUAACUAAUCAAAACAUUUCUUAGCAAUUUCAAUCACUUACACAUACACAAUCUUACCAAUUCACUUGCAUAUACAUUUUCACACUUAACAUUUCAUAUUCGCUUUAAUUCAUUAUUAAUCCCGUUGAACAGUUGGAAUAUACACGGAUACGUAGAGAUUUAGCACAUAAGUGCCACACUGAUAUGUAGCCGAAGCUACCACUGAUAUGUAGCCGAAGCUAUCACUGAAAUGUAGCCGAAGCUACCACUGAUCAAUAACACUGGAAAUGUCCACGGGCCUGCUCACACAAGCUGUCAGGUGUCUGCAACACAUGCUAGAUCACCCAGCACCCGGGACUCACUGUAACACUGUAACACUGUAACACUGGUCUCUAGUGACAUGUCACUUGUAUCCAAUUCUAUUCCUAAGUUCAACCGGGAAUUUACACUUAACACUUUAUUACUUGAAUAAUUCAUGAACAAUUUUCCUUCCACAUUCAAUAUUAAUUCACAUAUCAAAUAUAAUUCACAAUUUAUACAAAUAUAACUAUUAUUUACAUAUAACUUACCUCGGAUGCAAAACGACUAUUUUUUGUAAUUUAGUCGAUAACUUUCUCUUUUCCCCGAUCACUUCCACUAUUUCUUCUUUCUUGAUCUAUAUUAACACAAUUUAAUACAUUUUAUCAACAUUUCAUUCAAAUACAAUUCAUACACAACAUUUUGGCAAAUUUAUAUUUUUCCCCGAAACUUUUCAAAAAUUCCACUUUUGUCCCUAAGCUCGUAAAAAUAAAAUUCACUAAAUUUUUAAAUUUCAAACUUCAGUAAAUCAUAUUUCAUGCUCAUAACAGCCCUCAAUUUCACAAAAUCACAACUUUAUGCACACUUUACCAUCUUUCACAAUUUAGCCCUUUUUCAACAUUUUCAUCAAAAUUCAUCUAGUAAAACUUGUAAUUAACACUUCAAACAUUCAUUAUCUAACAUCACUAAUCAAUUUACAAUUAUAUCAUGAAUGGGUAAAUUUUCAAACUUUAAUUUCAUUUAAAUUAAAUAGUAGAAACAUGAAAUUCAAGCUUCAAUAAGCAUAAAAAUACGAAAAUAAUUAAAAACGGGGCAAGAAAUCACUUACAAUUGAGCUUAGGAAAAUCAAAACCCUUAACUAUGGUAACCUGAAACUUUCGGCAGCAAGCUUCUGAUUUUUUUGAAGAAGAUGGACACUUAUUUUCUCUUUAUUUUGUCUUUUACCCAAUUUGGACAAAAAUGCCCUUGACCCAUUACUUAGAUAUUUUUCUAGAAAUACCCUUUUGUGUCCAUAACACUAAUUUAUGGUCUAAUUGCCACAUAAACACUUCCAAUUUCAUGCAAUAAUUCAAUUAAGUCAUUUAAUCACUAAUUAGACACACUUUGCAUUUUUUUCAAUUUAGUCCUAAAAAUUCAAUUAAGCACUAAAGCAUUAAAAUUUCCUAUCCAUAUUUUCACACAAUAUUUCAAUCAAUCAGUAACUAAUAAAAAUUUAUAAAAUUAAACUAUUUCACUUCGGAUUUGUGGUUACGAAACCACUAUUCCGAUUAGGCCCUAUUUCGGGCUAUCACAAAAACUCAUAAACCUUUACGUUUUACUAAAAGAAACUAAACCAAAAUUAAAGCCAUAAAAAUUGAAAACUGAAAAACAACCAAAUAACAAGUUAGAAGAAAUAUUUACAACAUGAUACAAAUGCAUGAAUUUUGAAAACGAGAUUUUCGGAUCACGACCAAAUAUUUACUUUGAACAAAGAAAUUUGAAAAUUUUGACAAAACGUAUUUAAUUCGACUCGACUCGCAAGUUUUGUCCCCAGUGGAGUCGCCAGCUGUAGCGACGUAAAAAUUAGCUUUAGCUUCGGUCGCUAAUUGUGGCGAUUAAAAACUUGGAAAUUGAAAUUUGAUUUAAAAUAAACCGGGAGUCGCCACCGAUCCUUUUUUCUAGGUGUGAUCAGACACCUAUUAGAUUUCUUUUUAAAAACGAGAAAAAGGCCGAGUUAAGGUCUACGUUAAAAGCCAGAGAAAAAUUAGGGUUCGGGAGUCGGUUACGUGCGAGGAAGGUAUUAGCACCCUCACGACGCCCAAAAAUUGGUAUCUCAUAAACAAGUGUUGUCUUGAUUUUCAAAAAUAUGAGUUCAAAGUAAUAUUCAAUCGUGAUCCGAUUCAAAAGACGAAAACUUUCAAUUUUUGAUUUCCUUUUUUUUUUGAGAAGGGUAUACCGAUUAAACACGAACCGACAAAUUCCACUCAACAUAGCAAUGGAACCGUCGACUUGGUAUUAAACCGAUAUGUUGCCUUUGAUUAUUGAAAUUAAUUUAGAAACAAGAACGUGAUUUUUUAAAACGUGUAAGACAAAAUGAAUACAGAAAUAAAUAAACAAAUGAAAGGACUAGGUAUACAUAUUGGAACAAAUGACAAACAUAACAAAAAUAUUAAAACAAUAACCGUGCAUGCAAGAUUAAAUAUGACAAUAAUAUCGAAAAUGAAAAAAAACAUUGAAUAUACAUAUGUAAAAGUGACAUUACGAAUAUAUACAUAAAAAUAGGGAUGAAAAGAUUUACAUAAUAAUAUUAAUAUGUGUACAUAAUAUAUAUAUACAUAUAAUAAAAUACAUGUAUUGAUAAUAUAUAUGAUAAGAAUAAAAUAAAUGUAAUAAUAUACAUAUAAGAAUAUAAAAUCUAGUUAAGACUAUGGAAAAUAUAUAAAACGACGUAUGAUUUAAAAAGAUAACAUUGAAAAUAUGUAUAUACACAAUAUAGAAUCAGAAUAUAUAUAUGUAAUACAUAUUAAAAGGAUACAUAUAAUAUACAUGUACUUCAAAAUAAUGUUAAAAGAGUAACUAUUAAUUAUAUUGCAUGAAAUAUACAUAUACAUUAGAAACAAUAACGACAUAGAAUGAACUUACUAGUACAUUUAGAAUGAACUUACUAGUACAUUACAUGGAUAUGUUCGUACGUGGGUAUAAAUAAAUGGGACAUUAGAAAUACUCAAUAUGUAUGGUGUUCAAAAUAUAUACAUAACAUAAUAUAUAUAUAAAUAUAUAUAUACAUAAUGUAGUAUUAAAAAUAAACAUAAUAUAUAUAUGUUGAAACUAAUAAUAAUAAAACCGUCGAUAAUACUUAAUAAGUGUAUGUCUAUACACUGAAAAUAUACGCAAUAAUACAUAAAGUAUAGUAUUAAAGCACAUGUCUUUAAUAUAAAAAAUACAUAUAUAUAAUAAUAUAAUAUUGAAACAUUUACAAAAUUUAUACACAAAAAAAAAACUAAUAGUAAUGCCACAUAUAUACAUAAAUAUAUUAAGUAUAUACAUACAUAAAAUAUACAAUAAUAUAACAACACUAAUAAUAAUAAUAAUGUAAAAGUGACAAGGAUAUUGGAUAAAUAUAUAAAAUAAACAAAAAAGGACUAAAAUUAAAUCACAAACGAAGUUAUGGGGCCUAUUUAAAAAAAGACAAAAAUAUGAGGCCUAUUUGAACACGGGUAAAACCAUGGGGUAUUAAAAGUGCAAUAUUUCAAACUUUCCAAAACGCUGCGCAGGUAAGGGACCAGAAUGAACUCGGAGCAAAACUAUUGGGGCCGAAUUAAAAUAAAAUAAACUUGAUUGUAAAUUAUCAGAAAAGCGGAAGGGCCAAACGCGCAAUUAGCCCUUCCGCUGUAAAAACACGCGGAUCCUGACCCGACCCGCACUAAAACGACGACGUUUUAAUUAUUAAAAGGGGGGACCAAAAUGCACCGUUUUGGUCCCCUGUAUAAGCAAAUUUUUUUUUUCAUUUGAAACAGCUGAGAGAAAAAAAAAAGAAAAGGGGGAGGGGAGAGGGAAGCCCGGAGCGAUUUCCGGCCAAGGGGGAGGGUUCCGGUCCGAUCGCCGGCGCCGGCCACCGCAGAAAAGGUAAUUUUCUAUUUUUUCUCUUUUUUUUUGCUUUUUAUUUCUUUAUGUUUAUUUGUAAAUUUUUAUGUAUUUGUGGUGAAAAAAUGGACUUAAAACAGUUAUUGAAAUGAAGAAUUACCUUCGGUUUUACUCACUUUUGAAUCUUCGAUCUUUUGUAUUCUGCCUGCUUGGAUGUUAUUUUUUGUUCAAACUCUAAUUAGGCUGCUAUUUUUUGCUCUACAAUCGAACCUUUCUGUCGUUUUUAUUUUUUAAGAAACAAAGAACAAUCCCCCCCUUUACAGAUUUUCCAUUUCGGCUUUAUAGCCGAAUGUUCCAAAGAAGAGUACAAAAAAUAUUGUUUCUUCCAUUUGCUACUGCUCUGUUGCUGCUGUUGUUUUGUUUCCUUUUUGCAGUUACAGAGUCUGUUGUCAUGCGUACGGGGUGUGGGCGUGGCGUACGAGGACUGUGGAGGUAUGGGACUGUUGUAGUGGGGGUAUGGGGCAUGGCAGACGUCGGUGGUGACAAAGGCAAGUGGGCGCCGAAUGCUAGGGGGGCUAGGGUUUGGGAUUAGGUAUUUUUGUUUCUGAUUUUGUGUAAUGGGCUGUUAGUUUAGUGGGCUGGUAGUUUAGGUUAUUGGGCUUCGGGUAUAUGGGUUCAGGGAUAUUGGGUUCUGGUUGUAAAUGGGGUUUGAAUUUUGGGUUGGUUGAUGUAUUAGUUAGGCUUAAUGGGUAUUGGGCUGUUUAGGUUAGGGUAGGUUAGUUGGGUUUUGGGGUUUAAUGGGUUAGUGAUUUAAUGGGGUUUGAAAUUGGGUUGAGGGAUUAUAAAAUUGAAAAUGGGUUCUCUGUAAUAGUAGCUAAAAUUGGCCUGUACACCUUUCUUAGUAGUUGACUUCAUGACCAUAUUCUCUUGUUUUGAAAGGAUAGGAUCUUAUAGAUUCACAGUGCACAAACGAUGAUUAUUUUUGUGACUGUAGAUACGACCAUUUUUCUUAAAACAAAUAAAUGAAAACCAUCAAACAAAUCUCAGCAAUCAAAAUUAUGGACCAAAGCUUUGUGCUUGCUGAUGUCUUUUAAUGCAAUGCUCCCAAUCCUGCGUAAAUGUUGAUUACAACUAAAAUACACACUGCAGUUCCUAGUAACCAAUGUGCAAUAAACCAUGCAUUUCCUCCCUUGGAUCCCCUAAACAUAAUGCGUUAUAUAUGCUUCAAUUUUACACUUUAUAUGCCAAAAUGCAAUAUUACGUUGUUCAUGUAGGGUGUGCUUGGUUGAGUGGAAAAGUGAAGAGAUGAAAGGAGAGAGUAGAAAAGUGGAAAGAAAUAAUUUUUGAGUAUACUUAGUUGGGAUGAAAAUUUAGAGGAAAGAAAAUAGGAGGGAUGAUUAUUUUUCAUUCUAAUACAUAAAAAUUAAUCUUUCCAAAAUGGGAUAAGAAAAGGAUAGAGAUGAGAGAUAAAGUGUAUAUUAAUUCAAAAUUAUUUGGAUUAUUUAUUUUUCAAAUGUUUUAUUUCAGUAAUUUUUUUUUCACUCUACCAAACAAUGGCUCGAAAGAAAAAUAAUUUUUAUUUUCUAUCAUUCUUAUCAAGUACUGUAAUAGCCAAUUUUGGCCCAGGCCAAUAAAACAAAAAUAAAACCCAAAUAAACAAUUAAAAACUCUAAAUAAUAAAAAGUCCAUUACAAAAUUAAAACCCAACAAACCCACCAAGCCCAAACCAACCCUAGCCUUCUAGCUAUCAACAUUUUCAGCAAACAGAAAAAAAAAAAAAAAAAACUAGCCACCCUUCAACCACUGCAUGCCCCACUGUCUGCUGCCUCCACGCAUGCCGCUUCGUCGCACUCUUCGAACGCCCCCUCCAUGCGUGCCACGCCUCUCUAACACCUGCAACAAGGAGUAAAUAUGAAGACAGAGAGUAAUACACGGGCAGUAGAAAAAAUCAAGCAAAAACGACAAGAAAAUAGGAUUGAAUCGUCUUGUAAACAACUUUAAAAGCUGAAAUUUUCCCAUUGUAUUUUUUUUAUGAAUAUUGAGCAAUCAAAAAGCAAAAACACAAGAAAAAAAGGUUGACUGUUUAUUUCCAUUUCUCGUUUUCAUUUCAUUUCAUUUCAUUUCGUUUUUUUAUUUUUUUAUCUUUUUUAUUUUAUUAUGAAUCUAAUUUAAACAAAAUAUAAAAGAAGAAACCUCACCUGAAUCCCCACGGACGCAUCGUCGGAGAGUCUUCUCUGUCGCUGCAAUCGGGUUCGAAAGGGUGCUGAGGGUUCUCUUCUUUCGUUCUUAUAAGACGCCGAGGGUUUGGCCUUCAAAAAGGUUUUGAAACGGGGUUACCUAUUUUUGUGCGUCGCCAGCCACCAAACACGGUGGUGGUGUAGCGAGCAGUGAGAACCCGAUCGUCAGAGAAACAAAGGGGGGAGAGAGUGUUUUGCGGUUUUUUUUCUUGGAAAAUGAAAGAGGAAACGGCAAAAUAAAAAAGAAGGAAAUUUUUGGUUUUA